rnacentral:lncRNA from 1 species
GCUUUUGAGGUCAGAACCAAAAAAAAAAAAAAAAAAAAAAGAGAUAGCCUUUUGAGGCUUUGGGGAGUCCUUUCAGCCAUUCUCCACCACCACCAUAUCAUACAGGAUAGAGCAAAUGCCAGAACUCUCCCCAGUGAUUGGAUGCAAUAUCGAAACUGACCCUUCUUGUAGUAAUGGCAUCUGGCCCAUGACUGAAGCCCUUGAAUACUAUUGGUGUGAUGGUGAAGACAACAUGCAUUUGAAUGAUGUUAGAAUGAGGGCAAGUGAAAGCUUUUUUGGUCCUAAACUUUGAUAAAUGCAAAGGCUAAUAAACUUGCAUAACUUUGCAGUUGAAGGUCAUCUUCCACACAUUGCACAUCGGAUUAUUUAUGGGAUUUUGCAGCUUUGGGAUUUUUUUUUUGUUCAUAUUUGUGAAUUUGAUGCAUGAUAGUUACAACAAUCAACAAUGAGUUGAACACUGACAAGCUGCAAUGCAGGCCACAUUUUUCUAAACAUUGAUCUUGUGAUUCUAACUUUCUAAAUAAGCAGUAUCCGUACGUAUUCAUACUUAUUCAUACGUAUCAUAUACGUUUAAUGCAUGAUAUAUAGCUACAACAAUAUUGUGCAAAACUGAGCAGUGAGCACACUGGCAACAACAAUUAAUGCAGAGGCAAAAUAUGGAUCAAGAUCCUAAAUAGAAGACUAGAAUCGAACUCUCUGUGAGUGUAAAAAGUCUUGUGUUUAUUGUCAAGUUUCGCAUCAAAUGAGAUGUGUUUUCUUGGGUUUGUGAAGAAAAAUAGACAGAAUGUCUACAUCUUCAACUUCCGGGGAAGCAAGAAAACCCCACCUCAUCUGUGAAUUCUGAUCCAAGUUGAAGCCAUAAAGUUCAACAAGAGCUUGGGUUCACAUAUUUCUCUAAUUAGAUCGCAUUUCCUACACUCAUUUAUGAUUCUUUACCAGCUUCCAGAACCCUUUGGAGAAAGAAAAAAAAUUAAUGAAUUAAACCAAUUAACUUUGCAAGUCUCACAAGUACGUAAUGAGAAGUAGUUGAAAACCACAAGUCUCCAUUUGGAAGAGAAAACGAAGAAAAGAAAAACAAGCAAACGAUUGAUGAAACGCAUGGAUGUUAGGGACACUCUUUGAUUCAUGGAAAGAGAAAGAACAUGUACACGGGCAGCUAGUGUCUGCUCAAAGUUGCACCAUAUUCAGGCAUAAUCAGGCAGAAUGAGACCCCUUACAUUGUUAAGUCUCGUUCAAUGUCCUCCAGAUUAGAACUUGUUAACUUGUCUUGGCUCGAUCAAUACCUUACUGGUUUUUAAUUCACUUACCUCAAAUCGACGCAAUUGGCAAGUUUUGCCGGUUAGAUAUUUGGGGCUUUCAUCAUCUGUGUUCCUAGCUACCUAGCUAAUAUACGUUUUAGGGAUUGUCUUCGUUUAAUUAAAUUCUUUAAUUUUUCGGUCGUGAUAAUAGACUCCGUAUACAACUUUGACCGAGUCUAUCAUCACGAAAUUUUAGUGUUAACAAUCACAAAUAUCUAAUCUGAAGUCUUUCAACACAUGCGCGCAACUUGGAUUGUGAUAUUCUACUAGUGGUGUUAAACAUAAAGAAAUAAAGAAAGAAAUAGAGGGUAAGCUGUGGGAAUAUACGAUCGAGUGGUGUUAAACAUAAAGAAAGAAAUAGAGGGUGUAUAUUUGGCGGGGAAAAGCUGAUGUCCACCUUAGCUACAAGGUGAUCGAGAUAGAGGAAAGAGGAUGAAUCAAACAGUUCCACGAAUACCUAAUAUUAUUGCCGUAAUGGUCCUCCCUGUGCUGCCUAACGGGGUGGCCAACAGACAAUACGGGGACCCCAACUAACCCCAGGCUGCGCCCAGCUGACUGAGUCCUUCACAGUUUUCAUACCAUAUCCACAAGGGUUUAGUUUUGGCCAUACUUCACCUUAGCCUCAUGGUCAUGCAUAGCGUCAUCUAAUAACUUGUAUGGAUUUACGUACAUUGGUUCACUUGCGAACAUUGAUUAUCUCAGUUUACAUUGAAAGGUUAUAACUGUUUGUAAAAUUAGAUUCUUAAGAAACACAAGGAGCCCACAAAAUUGUAUGCAUAGAGAUCCUGUUAUGAAAUUCCAAGCCAGCUAGGGUUAGAAUUUUAUGAGGGAAUAGAGGCACCACAAAUCCCACAUUGGUAAAGCAGAAAGAGACGUUGGUCGUCAGUGAAUGGCCUGUACGUGUAAAUGUGAAUGCUACAAUUCAUAACAAGCAACAGCAUCGAUCUCGAACACAGAACACAACAAGCUAAGCAUCAGAAUCAUAUAUGUGUCUCAGCCAGUGCGCUAUAUAUGCAGCUGUGGAUGUAUACAUACACGUACCUACAAAUUCUGAAUCCCAAAAGACAGUGAAUCAGAAUUAAAACAUGUAAGCAGAGACAGAGAUAGAGAUAGUAAUUACUCGAGUUAUUCAACAUAAUCUUUCAUCUACCAAACAUGAAUCACAACGAUUAUUGAACCCUAAUAUUUUCGAGAAAUUCAUUCUUAAUAAUCACCUAAAGGGCUACGUAAUAAUUGAGUCGUCCGAAAAAUGUCCUGUAAUCCUGAAUAACCUGAUGUCAACAUAAACAAUGGAAUAUGCAACCUAUAAUGCAACAAAAUAUUUGAAAGAAGCUAAAAAAGCUCAGUAGCAGCAUCCUGUCCAUGCCAAUUAGCCGGAACAAACCCAAACAUUCUUAGCUAUAACUUAAACAACUUUUCUAUGUAUAGAUUUAUCAUUCUUCUCUCAAUUUUUUUCGUUAAAAGUUUAGAGUGUUUUUGGAAUUUUGUCUUUUGUUUUAGGAAAAGUUAUAAAGAAUAUGUUUAAGCAAAACAACCAAGUUUUUGAUGAAAAUUGAUAAAAUUUGUGAUAUAGAGAACCUAUUGGAGUUGGUCUCGUAACUCAUAAGAGAGUAUGGAAGACAUAAAGGUGCUUGAUGAUAUUGCUGUCUCGAUCCAGCAUAUAUAAUCUUCUUUAUAUUAUUAUCAUUUUAAGUUUUUAACAUUGUAAAUAAAUGAACAGAGGAAAGUGUACUAAUCACUGUAUAUAUCAUGCUUAAUAAUUAAUUAUGUAUGUUCAUAUCAUGACGAUCUAUUAUUUGUAACAGUACGUUUAUUGCAAUUUUGUCAUAUAACAAACAAUCAUCCUCAAGUUGGUGUUGUCUUUGGUAACUAUUUCUGUCGACAGAUGACUAAACAUGAAAUAAACCAGAAAAGACUAGAUUCCAAAGUUAAACAGUUAAGCAUCUGAGGGAUCCCACAUGGCUUCCAAUAAGCACAACAAAGCCUGCUGCAAUUAUCCCAUUUUCGUACGCACAAAUAGUUGAUUCUGUUUUAAUGUCAUCACUGAGAGUAAGAUCGAGUGCUCUUCUUGUUGGCCUGCACUGCAUGUCAUCGAUCACGUUGUUUCAAUUUGAUUGCCUCCAUCUAGCUAACUCGUUUUUUUCUUUUCUUUUGUUGAGAAUCAGUUCGGGUUUAAGCUGAAAGUGGCUUCUUAAGCAAUUUCGACCUCUUCGUUUCAUACCACAAAGUCGAUCUAUUUGCCACAUUAGGUCAACAAAGGGCAAAAAUUAAGUAUGAUUUGCUUUCAGCUGUCUGUCAUCAGAUGAUCUAGUAUAUCAACUAAAGGGAUCUGAAAAGUUAGAAUGGCAAGGAAUCUUAAUAAUCAUUUCAUCUGAUUAUUUUAUAAACGGAACAAAAAAUAUGGAAAAAUUGUUAUGUAUCAAACAAUUAAAUAAAUGUAUAUAGAUAACUUUAAUAAUAGACUUACUUAUCAAACAAAAACCAAUAUAUAAGCUUUAGGUUUCGAUAAAUGUUCUUAAUUAACAUUUAAUUUUCAGCGAGUCAAACUCACAAGUCACAAUGUUUCGCUUACUUACGGAGUUAAUGUCACUAUACUCGGCACGUACAACAACAAUUUGUGAUUUUGAUAGAUGUGUUUCAUGUUUUUAUUUUUUUAUUUAAUAUGAUUAUAAACAACUUUUCGUUCAUAAUUCUUGUGACAUUUCACUAAACUUCAUCGUGCUAGCAUAUGCGAUGAUUCUUAUAUGCACCGAAGUUCACUUAAAUCUACAUCUAUUAAGCGAUUUAUGACAAAGAAGGUCUUAAUUUCCAAGAGAUGUGGUCUAUCAUUUCCAAGAUUAGAUAGGUUAAUUAACUUACACUUUAGAUCAAGUCAUGGUUAAUUAGGUCCAAGCAGCAAUUAGCCAGUCAAAAGAGAUCAAAAGUUUAAUCUGAAAGCUUAAAAAUCACAAAUUUUAGUUUAGUUUGUAAGCUUUAGAUGAUCCUCAAGGGAACAGCUAGCUUCCCCAAGAUACCUACCCUCCUCCAUUUGUCAAAGACAUAUAUAAUCGCGUGCAACGCAUGUUUUGAGCAGGAUGAGUAUUGCAAUGGCAAAUGUGUUUCACUCAAGCUUUAUCAUAUUAUUGACUGUAAUCAGAGGUAAUUAACACGCUUAUGUUUAUAUGCAUGCAUGAUGAUGAUGAUUAGUACUAUUGUACUAAUCCAAUUAUCAUAAUUAAGCAUGUUUUUUUUCUAGGAUUUGCUUUGACAUGAAAGAUAUACAUCAUCAUAUACCAUUCGCCUUCUAUCGACUGUUUGGCGGCUUGAGGUUCACUCAGACCCAACAAGAUAUAAUUUCUUUUGGGUAUAGUUUCAUUUUUACCCUGCUGAAAAUAGUGCAAGACAAAUAUGUAUUUGCUUAUUGAUUUGAUGAUUUGAUCAAAGGCCAAUAAUCCUUUUUUCCUUUUGUUCUUUUUCACAAAGCUGUUCCUGUUUUAUAUAUAUAAUUAAGGAGCUAGCUAGCGCUGAGGAGCAGUGUAGAAAGGAACUUGAAGGUUUGUCUUAUUUCUCUGUAUGGUUCAUUCCCGAUCUUUGUCAUGAUCUUGUACCUUCCUCUUUUAGGCAUGGUGAAAUCUUGAUAAGCUGUUUAGUUUAAAGAAUGUAUACUGAAAGACGGAGCUAGCCAGCUAGGUACUAGGUCUGCAUUAUCAUUGCUCUAAUCUUUUAGUAUAUACGGCCGUCAUUCAUAUAUAAGUUGAUUUAUGUUAUUGUUUUUGGGGUAAAUUCCGUUGAUGUUUUCCAAAGUUUGGCCAAAUAUUCGAUUCAUAGGCAGCCGGAAAGUUCAGUGAAACAACUACCGUACCUACAUUUAUACGUGAAGUGUGGUCGGUCGAAACAUGAUCGUUUUUCUGAUGCUAGUAACACACAUUUUUUCUCUAUUCACCCACCCCGUCUAUCUUUCUUGUUUCCAUAAUAGUGUGUUAAUGGCAACACUCAAUUGUUCUAUUACGUUGUACACAACUGAGCACUAUCUUAACAUGAGUAUUACGAUUGUAAAAGGAAUUAAUUAAAAGGAAAGUGGAUGCUUAGGGUAAAUCUUGUUCAUGCUUUCGAGAAAUUUACACAUGUUGAAGGAGCACACUCCUUAUUUCCACAACACUCAUCAUUCUGCAGAUGCCCUUCAACGGGUAAGAAUUGAAGAAAAGAAAACGUCAGACAGACUGGUGAGGAUUAAUAUCAACUUUAUUAAAGGUGUUGUAGAUUAACAUAAUCUUGAAGAAGAAAUAACAAUUCCUUUCUCUGUUUUGGGAUCAGUGACGAUAAACAAUCGAGAAAUUCAUGAUGAGCUCUACCAUACGUGUCGAAUAAAACUUCUCCUUCACUUUUGUGUCGAAAGUCGAUCAAUUAUUUCAUCAUUCGUAUCUGGGUAACGAAAGCGAAUCGGCGAUCAAAAAGGGAGUGUUUUGAAGUUGGCAGAAAUUGGUAGCUGGGUUUUUGAAAACAGCUGCUUUUAAGCACUAAGGUUGCUAUAUAGAAUAAGACGUUCUAAUUAAACUCUGUUCCAAUGUGCUAGCAAUUCGUAAUAUACUAUUAAGAACACAGCAUAUACCAGAAAAAGAUUAAGAUCGAUAAUGGUAAUCAUUCAGGCCCCAUAUAUAGCAAUGAGCACCAGGGACUCAUGAUCAGACAGCAAGUCUAGGUCAACUUCGUGAUCGAUUAGUGGAACAAAGGGAAAGAAACUAAUCAAAGAGAGAAAGCAUUGCUAGGGUUCGGAGUACCACUGUUAAAAUUGAGGUUGAUGAGAUGGACUUUAGGGCAUGGCACCUGUACAUCAAUGAGUAGUUUUCCAUUCUCAGCUCAUUCUUCUUGAUUUAUUUGAUUUAAGGUUUAGGGUUGGCCUUUUCAGUAGGUUAUAUAUAUAUAUAUACAUAUGUAUAUAUGCAAUAUAUAAGAGACAUCAUUAAUUGUUGACGAUGGACCUUGUGGCCAAAAUUGCAUAUAGAUCGUAGUAGUGAUUGAUUAUUAUUAGGUCAGCCAAGAGGGAAUUGUUGUGGUUGAUAUAUGAUUUCUGUCGGACCGCAGGUUUUUGCAAUGAAGUCAUUGAAGUGUAAUCUGUAACAACUAACAAGUGUUCCUCCGCUACUUUUUUUUUUUUUAAAGGGUUUUGGGCGUUUGGGGAUAAUACCCCUUAACGGAAACCCAAUUCCCAUUCGAGCCGGGUUAGGACCGCCCGUAGACGGGGAAGCUCUCCCAAGAUUGUUGCUGCAUACACAAGGAUCGAACCUUCGACCUUGCUUAAGCCACACUAGCUCCCACCCACUAGUGCAAACAAGUGUUCCUCCGCACUUCCAUACAACUAAAGGUAAUUAGUUGGAUAUUUUAUAUCUCCAUUUUGGGGUUAAUUUUUCUAUUUGUCCUUUGAAGUAUGGUCACAAUAACAUUAGUAAGAUGAAAUUGACGUUAAAGAAAUAGGGGGAUGUAAAGAGACUAUAUGUAAGCUAGGACAAAUUAGAGGAGGCCAUAUAUCACAACUACCAAAUGAUCGAUGAACAUCAUCAACCAGAAAAAUAUGUCAACACCUGCAGUAUAAGUUAGGCUGCAAAGAAAAGUAUGUGAAAACUUUAUUUGAAUCCAAAGUCCUUUUUGGAAUUUAGAUGAUCAUCAUAUAUUUAGUUGGACUAGUAUGAUCUUUCUUAGACAAUCAAUGAAUUUUAGAGUUUCACUAAAUUAGUAUAAUUACGCUAUAAAUAAAAAUGUGUAAACUAAAGUUGAAUCUAAAACUUUUUAAAUGUAUCAAGUACUAUGUUAAAGAACGAUGUUAUAAAUCACGUAAUUUUAAAACAUGAUAUAUAUCUAUUUUGUCCCAUUUUAUAAUAUUAUAGUACCGAUAUGUCUCCUUAUUUUAAAUAUACGUACGCUCCCUUUUUUUUUUGUAAUAUUGUUUUUUAUAAAUAGACUAUGACAUUGAAGUUAAGCUUGUAUCAAAAUAAAAUUUCAUUGUCUUAAUUAGACAAUUACAGACUCAAUCUUAAAAGAACCCUAAACAAACAUGCAUCAAUAUCUGCACCACUAAUACAAAAAGCUGUCUGUUCACUCUACAUCGAGCAUUACUUUAUCGCAGUAAACAAGAAACAACAAAUCCGAUCCCAUUAUGAAUCCGAUACUACACACAAGGCAACAAGAGGAAGGGGACGAUCGGUUGCCGUUGAUCGAUCAGAGAGAAUUGCAUAUUUGCAUGCAUGGCAUGGGCUCCAUAACGCAGUAGAGAAACGCUGUAGAUGCCCAGAUAAUGUACAAGUGGGUGACAACACUUAGCCCCAUCAGCCUUGUAUGCAUACAACUAUUUCACUAGGAAUUAAACUGUUCGAGCAUGCAGACAGAGAGACCCGACUAAGCACACAUGCAUUCUUCCAUGCACAUUCUCUUGCUAGCUUACUUACUUGGCAUGGCCAGAUAUUGCAAGCUCUCCCUGUCGACCAUGACCAAAUACAAGCUCUCCCUGUCGACCAUGGCUUUCAGUUGGUAAGGGAACAAUGACACACGCUCUAGCUACUCCCAUAUGGGUUCGCAUGCACACGUGCAGCCCUGCCUCCUUUGUCUAUGAAUGUUACGUAUCAACCAACUCAUUCCCGGCCAUCAUUCACUGUGAUAUAAUCUUCUGUGUACUUAAUUGGCAUUGUCUUCACUUCUCUAGCUUUUCUGUGGAAAUGGAGAGAUUGUUUUAUAUCGUGUACAUAUGGUGCUUCUUUCUUGAUCAUAUAUGCAAACUAUGGCUUUUGCGUUUUUCGCAUUUAGGGGUUAGAGUUCAGAGUUUAGAGUACGUCUAGAGCUUAAAAAUUGACUCAAAGCUGUUGGGAUCUCUUGAAAUUAAGCCGCUUUCAAAUAGGAUAUAUAUACCCUAAUAGAUUAGCUCGAGUUCUUCACACUCGUCACAUAUCAUGUAAAAUUUAUAAUGCAUUAACAUGUAAAAUUUCUCUGGCACUCUUCUCUCGCUCCCUUUCUCUAUAGAAGGAAAACAUGGUUGACACAGUGAGGUCAUGGCCCAACAAGUGCCUCACUGCCUCGAGUAACUCUAAUAUACUCCUCAGUCCUCACCUCUACUUAAUUAGCUUGAACAUGCAUUAUAUACAUUAUAUACUUGAACAUGCAUGAUAACAUAACCGUCUUGGAAAUCCAGUAUGCUAUGCAUCAUCACGAUCAAUAGCUUCUUAAUUAAUUUCUGACUUUCUGAAUUUCAAAUAACGUUUUGGAGGAACAAUUAUAUCGUGAAAGAAAUUAUAAUCUCAAUUAAUUAUCAGUCCUCUCCUCUCCCUAACCGCCCAGCUCACCUUCACUAUAAAUAAUAUCUCAAAACCUCACUUGUUCUUCACUCCGCUUUCGAGUUCACACGUACAAAUACCAUUCAUAUUCACAUAUUUUCAAGCAAUGGCUUUCAAGAAUUUGGUUUUCCUUUCCAUAAUGAUACUGAUCGCGUCCAUCAUGAGUGCAAGCAAUGCAGCAACUGCUGCUACUAGGAAACUUUCUGCAGGGAUCAAAACGAGCGGUGAAGGCGAAGGCGAAGGCGGCCUAGUGGAAUGCGGAAAUGCGUUGGUGGAAGUGAAAUCUUGCUCGCAAGAGAUUGUUGUGUAUUUCCUUAAUGGCAGGACUGAUAUUGGCCCGGACUGUUGCAAAGCCAUCACCACCAUUACGCGUCGCUGCUGGCCUGCAAUGCUUACUUCCCUUGGCUUCACUGCAGAACAAGGUGACAUCUUACGAGGCUACUGCGAUGCCGAGGCUACUACUGUGAUUACUACUACUGCUCCUGCUGCAGCGCCACUUGUUCCUUAAACAUCUCUUACUAGUUGUUGAAUAAUUAGUUUUGCAUGAUGUUUGUUGAUCCUGCAUGCAUUCUAGCUUAAUCAUUUUAUGGUUAAUGCCUGUGUCAUGUUAUUUUCGUUUAAUGUUUGAUUGGGGUGGGAAGCCUCAUUGUUUGUGUUGCCCACCAUUGUUUCAACCUUGGGCUUUCUUUUGAUUUUAUUGCCAUUGUUUAUGUUUUGCCCAUUUCCAUUUCCAUAUGGAUCCAUAUAUUUUCCUAUUUCUUAUUGGGCUUCUUAAUUAUCAUGGGUGCAAGUUUCUUCCAAAUUUCUUUAAUAUGACCUUAUUGGUAUUUGAAGGAAAUCGAAAAUAUUUUGAAUUAAUUUGUGAUUUACUACCAAUAAGAACCCAUAUUGAUAAGAACUUCUUCCAAAUACAAAUUUUGAACUUUGCUCUUCAUCUCCACACCGUUUACCUCUACCAGUAUCUUGUAGCCUGAACUUCAUACUUCGAGAAUUCUCAGUUCUAAUGAAUUUUUUUUUUACUCUUCAAAUGUCAGUGUUUGCUUCAAUAGGCUCGAAGCCUUGAAUAGAAAAUUUUCUCCAUAAGGUGAUAGACAAUAUUCAAGGAAAUUAAAGGUUAGGGAAUCAAUCUUAUGACUGAAUGUCUAUCUCAGUGUUUGGCAUGUAACAUAGUUGUCGCAUAAGAAUCAAUUUAGGACAAUUAUGAUAGAAUAUAUAGGACAUAAGAUAUUUGAUAGAUCGUUUAAUAGGAUCUAAUUACAGAAGUAGAACCCGGUAUUAUAUGAUCUCACAUGCCAAAGACGGUGGUAGACCUGGUUAGAAGAAUAAGAAGAAAAAAAAACAAAAACAAAAACAACUAUAUCCAAUUGGAUGUAUGCCAUUUAGGUAGAGUUUCAUGUAUGAAAUGAUCAAAGAAAAUGAGAAUCGACUAUAUACAAGUACGUGACAGCACAUAGUUACAAAUGAGAAUCGAUUCUUGAAUAUGCUUAUGCAAAUCAUCAUGUGAGGUAUAAAAACUAUUAGAUAUUUCCAAUGGCAAUGAAGCUUAAUUUUACUUAAUUAUGAGCUAGCUAAAGCUAUAUAUGAACUACCCGUUAGCAGCAAGGUCCACCCAAAGUUGGUACUGCUAGAUUACACCGUUGGCAUUUGGCAAACUAAUUUGCCUAAAUCACUUUGUUCUUCCUCGCCUUUAUCCGCCCAGCUUUGCUUAGCUUGUAUGCAUUUCGACACUUUUUAGUUAACAAAAACCCUUUUAAUUAUGAUUUAGCUCCUAAACUAAACCCUUUCUCUUUCUCGUGGAAAAGUGUCUAUAUGUCUGUCUUCCUAAAGACUGAAAAGAAAGAUGCAAGAAAACCAUGAAAAGAAUAAUAUGCACUAGCACAUGCCCUGUUGUUAGAAAGCCAUGCGUAAAGCUGUGCCUGCUUAAUCACUGAGCAAGAAUACAAUAAGGAUCGAAUUUGAAAAAAAACAACGUAAGGUGAACCAAAUUUAAGACAUCGAUGAUCGAAUCCGACCCAAGAUUAGCUUAGCAUGUUUAAUUUAGUGACUUGAGAAUGACGGACAUUGUUAAACUGCAAUAUUGCUAACCUUAUACUGGUUAGUCCGGUAUAGCUAAAAACAAAGGUAACUGAAAGCCUGAGACCGAUCCAUGAUCAUGAGAACUCUGGUUAAUAAAACUAACAUUGUUGAGAUAUCAAUCCCAUAUCAGGAAAAAUGGGACAUUGUCUAUAGUUUAUAAAGGUUUGGACUACUCCAUCCAUUGUCAAUUGGUUUUAAAUGUAAACCCCAAACUACUUUAUCAUGGUAUCAGAGCGGGUUACCCACUUCCACGUGUGAAGCCUAAUGGCCACACGAACUCCACAUCACCCUAAAUGUUAUCCACGUGUUAGGUUUGAAAAUUCACCACACGUGCGAGGACGUGUUGGGAUAUCAAUCCCACAUCGGAAAAAAUGGGACAUUGCAUGUGGUUUAUAAGGAUUUGGGAUAUUCCGAUCCAUUACCAAUUGGUUUUGAAUGUGAACCACGUACUACUUUAUCAACCAAAGUAAGUCAAUACUAAUAGAAACAAACAAAUUAAAACUUUCAUGUUUCCUACUUCGAAUGAUACUUGACAAUAACAACUGCAAGUAACAAGAACAAGUCUGAUCCCUUUGGUUUUCUCGUCGAUCAAACUCGAGCCAACUGUUAGAGGAGGCUAUUAAAUUUUAUUUCCCACUAAAAUAUGAAGAACAAGUCCGUGGUUGACGUCGAGUCGUGAGUCAUAAGUCGUCUAUAGCUUGGAUCAUACUCCCAAGUGUCUGAAUUGACCUCAAGCCUGGGUCAAGUCGCCACUGCUAUAGUUACUCUUAUUUGCCAGGAAUGUUAUGUUUAGUUUAUUUUCUACAACAGUGAAAUGUUACUUUCAUAAUCUAGUAGUUAAACCAUCGCAGGUGUCAGCUAGCUGCUUCAUGGCCACAGAUGGCAGAUUCUGAGUCUACGUCCACGCAAUGAAGUUCAUACAGAAUUUUAGAUAUUACAUUUAGAUAUUUACAAGUCUAAAUCAACACAGAAAGGAAAUGGGGAGGUAAUGACCUAGAAAGCUCCAUCUCCAUUUUUGGAUUAUAUACGCAAUCGAAUUUGGAUGCUCAGAUCGACAUUAUGGGUAGCGACUGAUAAGGUAGUAACCGAUUCAUGCGUGGAGAAGAGGAGGUGGUUAUUUCGAUUACACCUACAGGUUUAUCCACUACGUGUUUAUACUUCAUGGUUCAUAGCAUGCAAUUCGUGAUUGACCCGGCUUAAUUCCACCAAGGAAUCGUUCCAACUUCGAACAACCAGUACUCGUUUUAGAAGGAGGCUUUCAAUCUUUUGAUAGUAGAAGAAGUAAUUUGACGGCGAGAGAGUGAUAGGGAAAAAGUAUGUAUACUAGUUUAUUAUGUCGUAUUGUUGUUCUUACUUGCGUGUUAAACAAUACGUCACACUUUUAUCGACAUGUUCAUGCUGUUAUUUUAAGAUUUUGACUUAUUUUAAAUAUUUUUAUUUCGCAUUAUAAAUAAAUAAAUAUCAAAACAUUAAAGUUUUAGACUUUAAACUGAAAUUAUUUUAACAAACAUUCAUUUGAAUUCGACUCCGUAUAAGUCUAUACUCAUAACUCAAUACGAGAAUUCAAUCAGUAGAAUCUCCUCUACUUCACAAGAAACUCAUUUCGAUUAACAAGAAGAAUAAUUCAUGAUUUCCAUCACAUUAUUGAAGGUUAAUCCAAAGAAAAAUAUAAGAGUUCAAUCUUAUGAAGGAAUCCAUGCACCUAAAGCGAAAUAGGUAACAAAUGGCAAUGAUAAGGGAGUUGGACUCGUUUAAUUACAUGUGAUUGAACCAGUCAUAGAAAGUCUUGACCAAAAAAAAAAAAGAACCAGUCAUAGAAAGAAAAGUAUACUGAAAAUCGCAACUUUAGGUGACCCUUCACCAGAAUCAGCCCCAUUGAAGCAUCUUUCAUUCACCCAAAUAAAUCACAAACCACAAUACAAUAAUGAAGAAGACUUAAUAUAGAGUUUAUCUAAUUAAGUAAUUGUUAGAAAAUAAUUUGAGUAACACAAUGAAUGUACAAUGAUUAAAACCCAUGUGCUUCUCUGGAAUCAAUAUAUAGUAUCUAAAUUAUAUCUAACCCUUCAACCACAACAUUUUAUUUGGCCACCACCCAGUCACCCACCAUCUCUCUCUCAAGUCUGGAGUCUCAACCGUCCUUCCCUCCCUCGUCUCUUCCAAAGAAGAACCUAAACCUCAUGGUGGGAUCCUACACAUUUCCUCAAAUACCACCAUUGACCUUCUAAUCAAACUCAUCAAAUUCACAUAGCAAAUCAACUUUCUACUAAUUUUGAUUUGAUACAAAACAAUUGGUUUCUUGUUCUUAAUAAUUAAGGUAUACCACGUUUUCAUGUUAUCUAACAUGUCGUAUCAUAUUCAUGCUUACAUUUUCUACCAUCAACGAGUUCGAGUUGAGCGAGAGAAUAUUAACUACAAGUCACUUUGAUUUGAGUAAGAAUAUCAAAUACUCUUAAUGACUCAUGCUCCUCUUUUACAGGGAGCAAAUUUGCUCCCCACCCUAACUUCCCCACUUUGCUCCCCAUCCACUUAAAUGACUAACACUUGUCUCACUCUCACUCAAAAACUCUCUCAACUCCCUUUCUUCUUCACAACUCUUUGCAACUCCCAGCAGAUACGGAAGCACUCGGAAGGGGGAGAAUGUGGAGGAGUGGCGGGCGAGAAAGGCAGAGCCGGGGAGGCGGCGGGAGCAGGAUUUGCAGGCAGAACAGCGGAGCCAGACGAGGUCGCUGCCUGUGUCGGCGACGAGGAGGAGGGGCUGCAGAGGGGAGCCGAGGCGGAGGUGGACGAAGUACUGGCCGGAGCCAGUGGAGGCGUCGGAGACGAUGGGGGAGGCGGCGGUGGGAGUGGAGGACAGAGAGGCGGAGGCAGUCGGACGAGAGGGCUUGGGUGGGGGUUGGGGAGGGUUGAAUGUGGAGGAGGGGGAGUUGCAGAGAGUUGUGAAGAAGAAGAAGAAGAAAGGGAGUUGGGAGAGUUUUUGAGUGAGAGUGGGACAUGUGUUAUUCAUUUAAGUGGGUGGGGAGCAAAGUUGAGAAGUUAGGGUGGGGAGUAAAUUUGCUCCCUCUUUUACACCACCACCACCCCCAUCAAUUACUAAUAUUGUACGAUAUGUAAUGUUCGUAUUAAGCAUAUCGUAUCAUAUUCACAUUAAAAUCUGUUACUUAUAACGAAUCUUGAGUUAUCUAGAAGUCAAUUAGAGACGAUGAAGCUUAUUUAGCAAUCAAUUUGUGUCGAUCAAGAUCAUCUACGAGUCAAUUGAGUCAACCAAGGAUAUCUACUACUCCCUAAUAUGGGGUAGCCAAUCUUAUUAAACUCGUUUUAACCCGAAAGGUAAAUAGUAAUUAGUAAAUAAGUAAAUGAGUCAAGGGUGAAGCACUGAAGCGUAGCCCAACCAAAACCGUCCACAAGACCUAGAAAUAGACGUCACAAAAAUAUCAGACAGUUCCACGUGUCGAGGACCUGGCUGGAAAUUAAAACCGCAAAAUUGUCAUCAGGAGACGACACAUCGUCAUGAAGCGUUUUAACGCCAAGUCCUCCCGCGUUGGGCCCCACCACCCACCACGACAAGCCGUUUCCUUUCUCCAAAUGCAUAAAAAGACCCUCCUGCCCCUGGACACGGCUCCCCACGCGGGAGGGGCAUAAUCGUAAAAGCCGACACGGGGGGUGUGGGGUAGACGACAAGCGAAACGGCUCCAUUUUGUAGGUGUAAGUAAGAGAGAGGAGGGGAGGUGGUGUGUGUGUUGCGUUGUGUUGACAACUGCCACCCAAUACCAGAGUGGCCACAGCUUAACAAAGCCUUCUUCCUUUUCCUUAACCUCUCUCUCUUAUUCUCUCCUUCCCUUCACUUCUCAUCAAACCCAAAACCUUCCAUUCUCUCUCUCUCUUCUCUGAUCUGUUCAACUCUUACUCAUUGAGAUUAAGGGUCCUGCUUCGUUUGUGAAGGCGCUCUGUCACUCAGUCUCGGGAGAUCUCGCCGGAAUCUGGUUGAGCAUUUUGGUGGAAUUUGGUCGAUCUAGAGAAUGUGGUGGAUGAUGGGCGAGGGUGGAGGUGCUUACUGCUCUAAGAAGACCGACGAUUACUGCGCCGAUGUUUGUGGCCAGGUACUGCUUUGUCAUUUUUAUCUUAAUCGAUUUGUGGUUUUAGGGGUUUUCGUUUAGUGUUGUUGUGUAAGCAUCGAUUGCUCAGAUAAUGUAGCCGCAAUGGGAUUAUGAAGUUCGGGGGAUUUGUGUUUCAAAGUUAUGAACUGAUCGGGAUAGCAAACGUGUUUGUGUGGGUGGGAUUAGAUAGUCUGGUGUUUGGUUAUCAGAUCAGAGAAAACUAAAGUCCUGCUUUUCUUCGUUAUCGAGUAUGAAUUUUGGUGUGUAAAGACGUUUUCUCUAUUGGGAAAUCAUGAAUUUUUCAAAUUUAUUCUCUUUGGUUGUUUGGUUUGUGCUAUGAUUAAUUUGGGCAUAGCCGCAUAGGUGUAUUGGACCGUAAAAUAAAUGCAAGUUGGAAUCCCAGAGCCAGCCCAUCUCAACAGUAUUAGCUGCAAGUUUUGGUUUAGAAAAUUCGGGACUCUUUCUUUCUAUCUAUCUUUCCCAACUAAGUGAAUAUUAUAGCUUUCGCCUUUUUAACAAACUAGUCUUGUUUUGAUUCUUUGGAAAAGUCAGGGUAAACCUAUAGAAUAGGUAGUCUUUUCUGCGGAACACAAUUGUUGUGGCUGUCUAUAAAUCUGAAUCUGUUUUUCUUAUUGAUGAAGUUCUGUGUUUCUCAACUCUAUGUUCUUUACUGUUUUGCAGGAAUCAGGUCGACUGAUAAGCAUGUCAAGAGUCCGCUGCAUUCUCCGUGGCUUUGAUUUAAGGGCUCUCAUCCUUAUCAUCAUGCUUAUUCCAACAUGCAUCUUUGGCAUAUAUGCACAUGGACAGAAGAUCUCAUACUUCUUGCGGCCGCUAUGGGAGUCACCGCCCAAACCUUUCCAUGACAUCCCACACUAUUAUCAUGAGAAUGUGCCCAUGGAGAAGCUCUGCAAACUUCACGGCUGGGGCAUCCGCGAGUACCCAAGGCGUGUCUACGAUGCUGUGUUGUUCAGUAAUGAGAUGGAUAUCCUUACAAUAAGAUGGAAAGAGCUGUAUCCCUACAUAACGAAAUUUGUUCUGUUGGAGUCAAAUUCCACAUUUUCUGGACUUUACAAGCCUCUUCAUUUUGCACGAAAUCGGGAGCAGUUUGAUUUUGUUGAACCCCGGUUGGAAUAUGGGACAGUUGGAAGAACAUCCCAGAAAGGGGACAACCCAUUUGUUGAGGAGGCAUAUCAGCGAUUAGCUUUGGACAACCUUCUUCAAUUAGCUGGUAUUACCGACGACGACUUGUUGAUAAUGUCGGAUGUGGAUGAGAUCCCAAGCAGACACACUAUCAAUCUCCUGAGGUGGUGUGAUGAUACCCCUGAAGUUAUUCAUCUUCGGCUGAAGAACUAUCUUUAUUCCUUCGAGUUUCUUGUAGACAACAACAGUUGGAGGGCCUCAGUACACAGGUAUCGAGAGAAUGUGACCAAAUAUGCGCACUAUCGGCAGACAGAUGAAGUCCUGGCAGAUGCAGGGUGGCAUUGCAGCUUUUGUUUUCGCAAAAUUAGUGAGUUCAUAUUUAAGAUGAAGGCAUACAGUCACAAUGAUCGAAUCAGAUUUAAUAAGUAUCUCAACCCUACAAGAGUGCAGAAGGUAAUCUGCAACGGAGAUGAUCUGUUUGAUAUGCUUCCAGAAGAGUACACAUUCAAGGACAUCAUCGGCAAAAUGGGCCCUAUUCCUCAUUCCUACUCGGCUGUUCAUCUCCCGUCCUAUCUGUUGGAGAAUGCCGAGAAGUAUAAAUUCCUGUUGCCUGGGAAUUGCAAAAGAGAAAGCUAGUGAGCACCCUCUUUUCAGUAAGUUUUUGAUGUCUGCUGUAAAGAUAGUUGGUCGUGCAGCUUCUGUGACUCCUCAUGAUGGGUUCAACCGAACAAUCGAUGACUGUGGUGUAUCGCUGACAUAGCUGUCCCUCAUUCUCAGCUACAUUUAUAAUCUCAUUCUUUGGAAAUGUUUCGGGGCUGAACAGAGACCUCUGGGUAUUUAGGGUAAUCUUGUGUACAUAACUCUUACUGGAGUUCGGUUUAGUAUAAGGUGGAGCUUGCCUGGCCUGUCUAUUGGAAUGGAAGAGCUUGCUGCUGCACUUGAAUCAGUCGUCACAAGUCUUAUGUUCUCUUAGCUUUGAGAUUGCAUGAUUCAUGGAUAUACCGAAAUUAUUAGUACAUGGGUGCCUACCCUUGUUGGGAAAUUUUGCUUAUGAGACAUUAUUGGUUUAUGCGGUAAAGCUGACUUUGUUUGUGACAUCUGAAUUGCUUUUAGAUCUUCUAUUGAUCAAAUUGCAUAAUAUAUAGUGCAGUCUAUGCGACUUUUCCAGUAUUUAUGUUCAUCCUGUCAUUUCAGGUCUUUGUUUAGUACCAGUUAACCUUGCAUAACUAGUAUAAACCAUAUAACAGACAUUCAAGACUCAAAAUUCUUGCAUUCUGAUUCCGGUACUAACACAUGUGUGAAAUCUAUGGAACGUAGAAAUUGCUGCUCAACUUUAAACUUAGUUUGGAGACCUUGCUCUCAAUCCGCUGCAGUCUGAGAUUAUCAUCCCCUGCUUAUUUCAACUUUGGCAGUGUCUUGUUAUCUGAAUCUCUGAUUUCAUUUUCACGUAUGAUUUUGUCGGGAAGAGAUGGAGAUAGUUUCAAUGAUGAACUGUAAACUAUGGUUUGUUUAAUACAGAACGAUACCAAAGAUAAUUUCUUGUACACAUGUAGCUGUAUCUGAAUUAUCAUAAACUACAACACUCUUUGGGUUUUUUAUUCACUGCCGAUCUGUCUCCGAAGUAGUUUGGCCUAUUCUCUGGUUUCGACAACAUGGCUCAACUUGUGUUAAUCUAAACAUCAUAGCAUAGUUUAUUUUGAUGAGCACAAGACAUAAACAGGACUGCAGGACUGAGACAGAGCAUAAGUGCUACAAUAUUAGUGAUAAUACCAAAGGGACUAACCAUUGAUUCUUAAACAUAGAUGGCCAAUCCUUUUGUUACUUCAGUCAAAGUAAAUCGAGAAUAAAUGAUCUUCUCAUAUCCCUUCAAAGUUGGGAUUCCAGAAUAAAGUAGAGGCAUAGAAAUGGCACAGAUACACCUCCAAGUAUUUCAUAUGCAUAUGCUAUUCUUACUCAUACACUAUCAAUGUCCUGAUACGAGAUGCAUUCUUAUCUAGUUUGUAGUUGCAUUACUGCCAUUACAUUAUGGUUGAUGAAGCCUAUAAAUUGCACCCCUCCACAUGAAGAGAGACAUCCCAAAAAACUCAACAUAUAUAGAACAAUAUGCGUCGCACCUUUGGGUUUGAGCAGCAGAGCUAUAGUGUGCACCAAGGGGCUCAACAACAUAGCUACUCCAUGCACCAGGAGGAGGCUUGGCACUCAAACAAUGAGUACCACAACCAUAUUUCAGGUGUGAAAAUUGUUCCUGCAGCUGCUUCAAUGUGUUUUGAUUCUGAGUUUUUGAAACAUAAGGCAAUGUUCAAUGGAAGCCAUGCUUCAAAUGAUGGAUGGCAUGGCCAGAACAUGCACCAAAAGCAAAGUAAUAGAUGGUCUCGCUCUGGCUUCGGCUCUGGCACAGGUAGUACUAGUUACUAUAGCCAUGCUGCUUCUGGCGCUGGCUCUAGUGGCAUAAAGUACUUGCCUGCAACCAGUGUUCUCGAUGCUUCACAAUUCUCAAAUGGUGGUGCUUUGUUCAACAUUGUAUCAACGCAAAAUAAUGGUGGAUCAUAUGGAACUAUCCAGGAGGUGAAAUAUGUUCCAGCUGCAACAAUGAGAGUGCAGGAAGUGAGAUACGAGCGCAGCAGUACCAAUUGGCGCGGCGAUGAGGAUGAUGACCUCCAGCAUUGCAUAACGGGUACCGGAAUGUUGAGUGGAUUUCAAAGGAUUGAGCCUAAAAGGAGAGAUCUUUGCCAUCAAAUUAGGCAGGGUGCUUGGUGUUAAGUAGUGACUACCUAAGUAGUCCAAGACACCAAGUGCAUCCUCUACUACAUUAUGUACUCAGUCACUCGUUUCAUUGCUGCGCAUGCGUAGUACCUUAUCAAACGAUCCAAAGACUAAAUAAAGAGCACUUGUUGACAGCCCCAAUUUUAUAGCUUCAUCAUCGUUUCGGUGUGAGAGUUGGCCACAUAUAGCUUCAUCAUCGUUUGCAUUACAACUUUAGAAGCACUAGCUAGCAAGUACUAAUAAUAGAAUCAAUAGGAACUUGGGAAGCACUAAAAUAUGAAUCAGGUUAGUUUGUCAUCCCUCAUUGUGAUCCUCGAUUCAUCAAUAUGAAUUGCGUUAAUAACACGAUAUUAAUAAAUUGCAAUUAAAAUACAUAAGAUAUACUUAGAUACCAAUAAUUUUCACAAUAAAGCAUAAGAUGUAUCCUCAAUAUUUUAUCCUCCUCGCUAUUUCUCAGUUUCAGUUCUUAAUUUCUUAUGAUGAUUAUUGGAUGAUUAUUGGUCACUGGUAGAUCAGUUAUGCCAGUUAUAUAUAUAUUUUAGGUAUGUGAACUGUAAUAAAGGAUGAUUUCUGCAUAUAUAUAUAUCUAGGUUAUGCUAAUUGGGUUUGGCCAUGAGUACACAUGAUAGCUAGUUUACUUCAGAAACUAGAAUAUCUAGUCAUGAUCAUGUCAAAUUGACACAUACGUUCUUCGUCGAAAGAUUGAUCACAUACGUUAAGUACUAUAUAUAGCUUCUUCAUCAGAUUAAAACUCAGUAACCCAUAUUUCUCAAUCUGUACCUAGUCAUAUAAUUAAGUAACAUCCGAAUUUCAUAUCAGAUAUUCCAUUCAUAAAGCUCCCAAGUUGAUUGAAAGGUCUAAAGCCACAGUAUCAAUAUUCUAGCUUUUCUAAUCAGAUUGUUUGUAUAUCUCACUAGAACCAUUCGAUAUAUACUCUCUUUAUGGGAUUCUUUAGACCACCAAGUUGGAGCAUUAGAUUCAAUCUUAUCGUUCAGGAAUCAAAUGCAGCUCAAAUUUCAAACCAAAUUACUACACGUUUUUUCAUUUUCCAUAUCUAUAUAAGUCCUCGAGCACUCCUUACCCAAACAAAAGCAAUACUGAAAACUACUGCUGUCUACUUACAGAAAAGAAAAUCAUGUCUUUCAGGAGUGGUUCCUCAAACGAGUUCCUGUCCUUCUUUGCAUCAGAAGUUCAGCAACCUAUGCAUAACAGGGCACCUGCUACUACCAAUUCCCAUCAUCGCCCAAAACCCCAUGUCAGGUUCAUUAAUGAGGAGAAAGUAAUCGAGGUGCCGAGGAGGCCACAGGUUGUGACACAGUAUGUGGUUCAGGAAGAUGUUGAUGAUGAAGCUGCUGCAUUUAUCAAGAUGGAGCACACAAAAUUCCAGAUGAGGCAGAUGACCAUGUCAGAUUACUGAGGAUGGAUAGCAUAUAACUCUAUAUAUACCCUUUAUAGCUCUUUAGGGUUGUGGGAUAAAUAAACUUGUGUUAAGCCGCCAUGCUAUAAAUAAUGUCAAAGCCAUUAGAUUGCUUUCAAAUUUGUACCUCAUUAUAUUUUGUGUAUCAGACUAUCAGUAUUGUUCAUGAUUCCUGGUGUGACAUUGCAUCUUCAAGUUUGUACGCACUAUGUUUUUCAUUUCAUUUUCGCAGUCUCAAUUUUAGACCAGGAUCUAAUCCUAGGUUGCCAACCUAAGAUGUUAUGCAUUUGUGAAUCGAAACCUGGCAAUUUACUAAACUUUUUAUUGUUACCAUUGGAGACAAAUUGAUUUGUUGUAAACCCCAAAAAGAGAAGCAUCAUUUUCUAAGCCUGUUUUUUCAAAUGGUAUCAGAAAUCAGAAUGAUCCGAAUGAUAUAUCUUUUUGAAAUGGCAUAUACCAAACAUGCUGAAAUCUUUUUUUUUUAGUCAAAAAAUGGUGGUCGGGUGGGACUACCACUCCGAGGCCGGGAGCAACAUGGGUAUGGCCUCUCCCUAUAUGAUGUUUUUCACUUGUAACAUCAUGGGAGCAACAUGGGAGCAACUAGUGGUCAUUACCAAGAGUAUUACUGUAACAUUCGCCCAACAAGCAGACCCAGCAUGCUUACCACUGGACAAAUAUGCUGAAAUCUUUAAGUCAUGUGCUUCACUUUGUUUGUUUAAUACUUUAAUUUGGUUAUUGCUUCAAAGACUUGACUUACCUUAUCCCUGUAAAGAUUUCAAGCACCGAACUUUGAGUUUCUCAGAUUUGGAAGCAGCAACAAAAACCAUAUAGCAACAAAAACCAUUAUUGCUCAUCUACUUAAUGAUCAACUGGUACCUACUUGUACACCCAAAACAAAACCAAAGCAACAUCGGUAAAAAAAACGAAGUCUCUUAAUCCUGCUCAAAAAGCAACAGAACAAAAAAAAGGGUACAGCAACAGUAUGAACUAAGCACUCCAAAAACCUCAUAUUAAUUCGGUAAAAAAGAACAAAGAACACAUCCUUCUUGUUGUUGUAGGUUGUUGUUCUUGUUAUUGGUGUUCAUAAUCUGUAUUAGCAAACAGAGCGGCAGAGAGGGCAAGUAGUAUGGUCAUUAUCAAACCACUUCUCCAAGCAACCUUUGUGGAAGAAAUGCUUGCAAGACAAUUCACUAACCUCCUGCUCCUCUUCAAAACCACACAGACACACACAACACUCCACCAUCAUAGCCAAUCUGCUCCCUCCUCCUCUCUUGCUUCUCUUGUGGCACAUCGACUUGUACCGCGCCACCGAGACUCGUCUCUCUCUAGUGUUACACCCAUCUGGACCAUCCUCCUCUAGGUUCUGAGUCGACGCAGCCACAUUGGCGCCACUCAUUACUUGGAACACGGAUCUCACCAUGCUCUUGAGCAGCGCCACCGACAGCACCGUGUUCAUUACCAGCACCGGUAGCACCCCCUCCGAUGUCCCCGGAAAGUUCGACAGCCCCAUUUUGUUACCAGUGAGAAAGUCUUAGUUUUGAGCUCUUAAGUUUUAUUUAGGAAGAAGCAAAACCAGAGGGAUGUGUGUGCUUCCACAAGACGAAGACCAUGACCUAAGUUUGGGCGCGGUGAUAAAUAGAGAGGGGGGAGGGUUAGGAGAGUUAACCUAACCAUGGUUGGGGGAUGUGAGGCAACACGUGGCGACACGUGUAGGGCUUCACUGUAGAGUAACGAAGAGGACACGUGUCGCGGGGACCUUGGGGGAGGGUGAAUGAGGUGGCGCGUUGUGGCGGGGCCUUUCAUUAGGGAAAGCGGGAAGUUUCUUGAUUACCGGAGGAGGGCCGGAGAUGGGUGUCGGUCAGAGACACCAAAGUAUAAUGGAGUCUUUGAUACGGAAUCUCUUGGUAACCAGUUGCGCGUGGGGUCCACGUUCCGGUGUGGGGAUUCAUCGUCAGCACCGAAAAGGAGAGCCCGGCCAGACAUCCUAUUCAGACCUGAAAAUGUGACAACGAAAUGGUAGCUGGCUACAAACGGGUGUUGUGACUUCUGACGACCUUGCUUAGAAGCCUUGGAGCGUUUUAAACUUUUAAUGUUCUCGCGGCAUGUACUUUCAAGUGGAUACGAUAUAUUUCUACUGAUUUGUAGCGAUUACAUGUAAGAACGAAAUACCUGUUACAAACUGUCGGGAUUAUUGAUCGAAAGUUGUCGGCGAGUAUUUUGAUGGAUGCUGUAAAAUAAUUUAUUGUCAAUAUAUUAUUAGUUUACUCAUCUCCCGAGCUUCACUCAAUAUGUGAGUUAUAUUACGUUUUAGCGGUAUCUCUUUCUGAUGGCCCUACAAGGACGAGUCAUUGGGUUCGUCUGACCUCCUUUCAUUAAAAAAAAAAUUUGUAAGAAGGUAAUGUGGUAUUUAUUUUUUUACAGUCAUAACAUUUUGUCAUGAAAAUUUAGAAUUAGGGUGGAUGUUGAAACUAGAAAUGAUGGCUGCAAUUUAGAGCUAUUAAUCUUACUUUGAAGUGAUUCAAACGUUAAAUUGUGACAAAAUUUUUCUCUAGAAUGUCUGUGUGAAUGAGCUUGGAAGUUCGUUACAUUCUAAAAUUAUCGCUUGUUUUGCAAGCAGCUAGCUGUACAGAUUAUCCCCUUUAGGGCACGUUUACUAACUUGGAAUGAAAAUUAUCAUGAAUCGAUAUAAAAAACAAUCGGUAUCAACAAGAAUCGGUAUGAGAAUAUUUCAUAUCAUUCUAAUGUUUACUUAUCAUAAGGAAUCAAAACAAGAAUGAAACUAAUUACGAUUGAUGUUGUUUACUUACCAUAUGAAAUCAGAAUUAAAACUAGUUUGAUUACUAAAAUACCCCUACACAAAAUGAAUUUAAAAUACCCUUAAAAUACAAUAUGAUGAAGGAUAAAGUGUAGAGACAAAGAGAUAGCAAGAGAAUCAUCAUCUUAUUCAUUGAUAGGAGCCAUUUAUAUAGGGAAUUACACAAUACCAAUAUGGUAAGAAUAUGAAUACAUAGAUCUAGUCUAACUACAUAUCCUAUUGGCAUAAGGCCAAGGCACACAUAGAGAAUAUCCUAGAACACUCCCCCUUGUGCCGCGCGCUGAUAUGCCGAUGGUGCUGAUCUGUUGCCUCGUCAAAAACCUCGUCAAGUCACAAAAACCCUGUGGGAGAAAAACUGAACCUUGAUCGUAGGAGAAAAAGAGUACAACGCACCCUUCACAUUUGAUAGUGACAUGUAUGUAUGUGCUAGACUCCCCCUGAAGUUCGCACCUCCCCCUGAUCUUUACAUCAAUCAUAGGGCUCUUCCUGAUUCUCACUAAUCACGGAAGUUUCAACAACUUAGCAUGUCAAUACUCUUUAACAUGUCUUCAAAUGUGGCAUUGGGCAAUGAUUAACUAAAUCAUGCCGUAUUGUCCUCAAAUGAUCUUUUACACUUAGAUCUUGAGGGGAAGGUCGCUUGUGAACUCAAAACAUAAGUUCGUGCAAGAAAUCAGAUUUCCGCGCAGCAUGACCUUCAAUUACUAGAACAGUCGUAACUUCCUCUAGGAAAUACAUAUGAACGAACCGUAAACGGUUUUGGAAACUAGACUCAUUUAGCAUUCCAACUGUAUAUUACACACAUUCUGGUUCAUCAGGAGCUGUUCACAAAAUCCCGUCGAAGUUGACUGUUUUGCCAAAAUCAGAUUCUCGGACAGAUUCGUCAUACUUUACGAAAACGGCCAUAACUCACUCAAUAUGAUAGGUAUGAUCAAAUGGUUGGUGUCCCUGGAAAGUAGACACAUAGACCUUUCCAAUGGUACCAAUUUCACCAUUUUCCAGUGAGUGAGAUUUCCUAUAGGUCCCGUGGAAGUUGACCUAUAAACCUUGGCAGAUUCUGAUUUCGCUUUUGAUGUGUCUUUCUUAUGUAGGGAUAGAAUAAGCCUCAACCUUUCAUACUAUUAAGUAUUGAAAAAAGGAGUUACUGCCAUUACAUUGGCGUUGCAUGGGCGCAUAGCUAGCUUAGCUUUACAACUUUUCAUAGCGAUAGAGAUGUCAAGUCUUUCGUAUUGUGUUGAGUACAUUGAUGCGUCUUAUUGUACUUAGAUGGGAACUCCAUCUCUUAACACAUAUUUGUCAUCUUGCUUUAGACAAAACAACGGAUCUCUCUUUAGAGCAAAGACCUUGACUAAUCAUGGAAGUAUAUGUAGGCCUCACUAGUUAUAGAGCGCCUAAGCCGAUUGAUCAUCAAUACAGUCAUCUUAUCGAGACUGUGUCUUCCCAAGAUCUUUUUCUUCGGAUGUUGAUACAUAUUGACAUCUCUUGAUCCAUCAAGAGUCCAUGUAAAUCCGGAAUGAACACGCAAAUGCAUAAUUCACCAUAUCCCUUCCAAAUCAAGUAGAAUCCAUGUGCGUUUCAAUAGCUUUAGCAAACGCGUGCUACUGUGGUCUGGAGCCACUUGAUUCAGAUGAAUGAAGUCCGUUUAAGACCUUCAUGUAUAUCUCUGAUCCCAUAGAGAUGUUAUUAUGACCACAUUCAUAGGCUGCAUGUUCAGUUAGUCGGAAACUACCAAACUGACAAAGUAGUGGAGUUCAAUGACAUCCAUUACGAGAGCAUAUCUCAUCGUAGUCGACCCAGUGCGUGUUAAUGAGAGACCUUGCGCCAUAAGGUGAGUCUAAGCUCUUGUUCUCACUACGCUAUCUAACAAAGGCAUAGUUGAUAGGGUUUAGCUUGCGGUGUCGGCAUCACCUGCCCAAUGACCUAUCUCUUUGUUAAUGCUGGAUCGCAUCUUUCCAUUAGGCCAAUCAACUAAGUUGAUAUCCAUCAACGAAGGGUGGUUUGAUAGUAGACUCAUUAUCCCACGUCCUCAUGUACACUAGUGUAAUACUUGUAGAGAUCUCUAUAUGAAUUGGAUUUGACAUUGAGGCGUCCCCCAACGAUAAUCACAAUUCAGACUUCAUGAGACGGAUUUGAGUAUCACUAAUCAAUGGAUCAGGUUGUGCCAAGCUCGCUUUCUUUCUAGUGCAAGACAAUAUCGAACCUAAGAGCCUCCCUCCUUUUAGGGAGCCACACGGCCUUGUGACACCAAUUUUGCCACUAUAUGGCGUCACCAUAUCACCAUCNNNNNNNNNNNNNNNNNNNNNNNNNNNNNNNNNNNNNNNNNNNNNNNNNNNNNNNNNNNNNNNNNNNNNNNNNNNNNNNNNNNNNNNNNNNNNNNNNNNNNNNNNNNNNNNNNNNNNNNNNNNNNNNNNNNNNNNNNNNNNNNNNNNNNNNNNNNNNNNNNNNNNNNNNNNNNNNNNNNNNNNNNNNNNNNNNNNNNNNNNNNNNNNNNNNNNNNNNNNNNNNNNNNNNNNNNNNNNNNNNNNNNNNNNNNNNNNNNNNNNNNNNNNNNNNNNNNNNNNNNNNNNNNNNNNNNNNNNNNNNNNNNNNNNNNNNNNNNNNNNNNNNNNNNNNNNNNNNNNNNNNNNNNNNNNNNNNNNNNNNNNNNNNNNNNNNNNNNNNNNNNNNNNNNNNNNNNNNNNNNNNNNNNNNNNNNNNNNNNNNNNNNNNNNNNNNNNNNNNNNNNNNNNNNNNNNNNNNNNNNNNNNNNNNNNNNNNNNNNNNNNNNNNNNNNNNNNNNNNNNNNNNNNNNNNNNNNNNNNNNNNNNNNNNNNNNNNNNNNNNNNNNNNNNNNNNNNNNNNNNNNNNNNNNNNNNNNNNNNNNNNNNNNNNNNNNNNNNNNNNNNNNNNNNNNNNNNNNNNNNNNNNNNNNNNNNNNNNNNNNNNNNNNNNNNNNNNNNNNNNNNNNNNNNNNNNNNNNNNNNNNNNNNNNNNNNNNNNNNNNNNNNNNNNNNNNNNNNNNNNNNNNNNNNNNNNNNNNNNNNNNNNNNNNNNNNNNNNNNNNNNNNNNNNNNNNNNNNNNNNNNNNNNNNNNNNNNNNNNNNNNNNNNNNNNNNNNNNNNNNNNNNNNNNNNNNNNNNNNNNNNNNNNNNNNNNNNNNNNNNNNNNNNNNNNNNNNNNNNNNNNNNNNNNNNNNNNNNNNNNNNNNNNNNNNNNNNNNNNNNNNNNNNNNNNNNNNNNNNNNNNNNNNNNNNNNNNNNNNNNNNNNNNNNNNNNNNNNNNNNNNNNNNNNNNNNNNNNNNNNNNNNNNNNNNNNNNNNNNNNNNNNNNNNNNNNNNNNNNNNNNNNNNNNNNNNNNNNNNNNNNNNNNNNNNNNNNNNNNNNNNNNNNNNNNNNNNNNNNNNNNNNNNNNNNNNNNNNNNNNNNNNNNNNNNNNNNNNNNNNNNNNNNNNNNNNNNNNNNNNNNNNNNNNNNNNNNNNNNNNNNNNNNNNNNNNNNNNNNNNNNNNNNNNNNNNNNNNNNNNNNNNNNNNNNNNNNNNNNNNNNNNNNNNNNNNNNNNNNNNNNNNNNNNNNNNNNNNNNNNNNNNNNNNNNNNNNNNNNNNNNNNNNNNNNNNNNNNNNNNNNNNNNNNNNNNNNNNNNNNNNNNNNNNNNNNNNNNNNNNNNNNNNNNNNNNNNNNNNNNNNNNNNNNNNNNNNNNNNNNNNNNNNNNNNNNNNNNNNNNNNNNNNNNNNNNNNNNNNNNNNNNNNNNNNNNNNNNNNNNNNNNNNNNNNNNNNNNNNNNNNNNNNNNNNNNNNNNNNNNNNNNNNNNNNNNNNNNNNNNNNNNNNNNNNNNNNNNNNNNNNNNNNNNNNNNNNNNNNNNNNNNNNNNNNNNNNNNNNNNNNNNNNNNNNNNNNNNNNNNNNNNNNNNNNNNNNNNNNNNNNNNNNNNNNNNNNNNNNNNNNNNNNNNNNNNNNNNNNNNNNNNNNNNNNNNNNNNNNNNNNNNNNNNNNNNNNNNNNNNNNNNNNNNNNNNNNNNNNNNNNNNNNNNNNNNNNNNNNNNNNNNNNNNNNNNNNNNNNNNNNNNNNNNNNNNNNNNNNNNNNNNNNNNNNNNNNNNNNNNNNNNNNNNNNNNNNNNNNNNNNNNNNNNNNNNNNNNNNNNNNNNNNNNNNNNNNNNNNNNNNNNNNNNNNNNNNNNNNNNNNNNNNNNNNNNNNNNNNNNNNNNNNNNNNNNNNNNNNNNNNNNNNNNNNNNNNNNNNNNNNNNNNNNNNNNNNNNNNNNNNNNNNNNNNNNNNNNNNNNNNNNNNNNNNNNNNNNNNNNNNNNNNNNNNNNNNNNNNNNNNNNNNNNNNNNNNNNNNNNNNNNNNNNNNNNNNNNNNNNNNNNNNNNNNNNNNNNNNNNNNNNNNNNNNNNNNNNNNNNNNNNNNNNNNNNNNNNNNNNNNNNNNNNNNNNNNNNNNNNNNNNNNNNNNNNNNNNNNNNNNNNNNNNNNNNNNNNNNNNNNNNNNNNNNNNNNNNNNNNNNNNNNNNNNNNNNNNNNNNNNNNNNNNNNNNNNNNNNNNNNNNNNNNNNNNNNNNNNNNNNNNNNNNNNNNNNNNNNNNNNNNNNNNNNNNNNNNNNNNNNNNNNNNNNNNNNNNNNNNNNNNNNNNNNNNNNNNNNNNNNNNNNNNNNNNNNNNNNNNNNNNNNNNNNNNNNNNNNNNNNNNNNNNNNNNNNNNNNNNNNNNNNNNNNNNNNNNNNNNNNNNNNNNNNNNNNNNNNNNNNNNNNNNNNNNNNNNNNNNNNNNNNNNNNNNNNNNNNNNNNNNNNNNNNNNNNNNNNNNNNNNNNNNNNNNNNNNNNNNNNNNNNNNNNNNNNNNNNNNNNNNNNNNNNNNNNNNNNNNNNNNNNNNNNNNNNNNNNNNNNNNNNNNNNNNNNNNNNNNNNNNNNNNNNNNNNNNNNNNNNNNNNNNNNNNNNNNNNNNNNNNNNNNNNNNNNNNNNNNNNNNNNNNNNNNNNNNNNNNNNNNNNNNNNNNNNNNNNNNNNNNNNNNNNNNNNNNNNNNNNNNNNNNNNNNNNNNNNNNNNNNNNNNNNNNNNNNNNNNNNNNNNNNNNNNNNNNNNNNNNNNNNNNNNNNNNNNNNNNNNNNNNNNNNNNNNNNNNNNNNNNNNNNNNNNNNNNNNNNNNNNNNNNNNNNNNNNNNNNNNNNNNNNNNNNNNNNNNNNNNNNNNNNNNNNNNNNNNNNNNNNNNNNNNNNNNNNNNNNNNNNNNNNNNNNNNNNNNNNNNNNNNNNNNNNNNNNNNNNNNNNNNNNNNNNNNNNNNNNNNNNNNNNNNNNNNNNNNNNNNNNNNNNNNNNNNNNNNNNNNNNNNNNNNNNNNNNNNNNNNNNNNNNNNNNNNNNNNNNNNNNNNNNNNNNNNNNNNNNNNNNNNNNNNNNNNNNNNNNNNNNNNNNNNNNNNNNNNNNNNNNNNNNNNNNNNNNNNNNNNNNNNNNNNNNNNNNNNNNNNNNNNNNNNNNNNNNNNNNNNNNNNNNNNNNNNNNNNNNNNNNNNNNNNNNNNNNNNNNNNNNNNNNNNNNNNNNNNNNNNNNNNNNNNNNNNNNNNNNNNNNNNNNNNNNNNNNNNNNNNNNNNNNNNNNNNNNNNNNNNNNNNNNNNNNNNNNNNNNNNNNNNNNNNNNNNNNNNNNNNNNNNNNNNNNNNNNNNNNNNNNNNNNNNNNNNNNNNNNNNNNNNNNNNNNNNNNNNNNNNNNNNNNNNNNNNNNNNNNNNNNNNNNNNNNNNNNNNNNNNNNNNNNNNNNNNNNNNNNNNNNNNNNNNNNNNNNNNNNNNNNNNNUAGUUACAUUGCUCUUGCAUACAAACCAAGCUGUUAUGAGACUCGAUAGAGGUCACAAACGAUGCUUUUAAUGGUUUGUCCUUCGGAUUGAUCAUACACAAUCCGAAAAAGCCGCGAAUUGAUCAAACACAAUUCGGAAAAGGCCUCGGAUUGAUCAAACACAAUCCGGUGAAAGGUCGGGGUUGAUCAAACACAACCCGGACAAAGAAACAAGAGUGAUCAAACACACUCUUGACCCGCGAAUAAAAUUCCGGGAUUUGGGUACAUGCACGCACAAAAUCUCAAGCAUAGAAUGGAGAUGGAGAAGGGAGGAAAGGAUUUUAUCCUCCCCGAGUUAUUGAACUUGGAAAAGUUUAAGGUUUCAAAAAACAUACCUUUCUAAAGGCUGCCGAGAGGAGAAAUAACGUUUCGCCUACUUAUACUUUGAAUUUGGGGCUAAAAAUUUGAUAGGAGGAGCAGUUCUGGAUGGGGAAGCUGUUGUCAAAAUUUCAGGUUGAUCGGAGCAAGGGAAGGUGGUGAACCGGUGGUCGGUAGCGGCGGCGGUCUGAAAUCUUCCGGCGACCGGUUCGGAGACUUUCCGGCCGGUUCUCAGGGUGAGACCGGCGGCGUUGGAUCCGGGACGGAGAGAGCUUUUUGGGGAUAUAAAAUUCCGGUGGAGGACAGUCGGAAUUUUGGUCGGAAAUCGGGAAAAACAAGGCUGCCCGAUUUUAGGGUUUAGAAAAAAAAUGGUGGGCUAUUGGCUCUAGGGUUAGAACAAAGUGCAUGAUAACGUGAUGAAGGAUAAAGUGUAGAGACAAAGAGAUAGCAAGAGAAUCAUCAUCUUAUUCAUUGAUAGGAGCCCUUUAUAUAGGGAAUUACACAAUACCAAUAUGGUAAGGAUAUGAAUACAUAGAUCUAGUCUAACUACAUAUCCUAUUGGCAUAAGGCCAAGGCACACAUAGAGAAUAUCCUAGAACACAAUAUAUAUUUUUAGGGUUGAGUAAUUUAGAAAUAUUAUAAUUAUGUGAGGAUAUUUUGGAAAGAAAAAAUUGACUCCAUUACCUUGAUUCUGAUACCCAUCUCCCCCUUGGGUAUCGAAUAAGGGGUUUUAUCAGGAAUGAGAAGCAAGUGGGACCCACAUCAAUUCCAAUACCUUGACAUGUUAGUAAACGCCGGAAUUCACCCAUUCCGGAAUCAAUUACACCACUCUCAAUUCUAUUCUAGGUUAGUAAACAUACCCUUAGUUCAUUCUUUGAGGGAGCAGUUGCAAGUAUAGUUGCACAGCGUGACGCUCUGUUCGUGAUGUUUUAGUCCGAGAGAUUUUUUCUUGGAAUGCGUUUUCUUCAAGAUCCCCGAACUCAGAAAAAUGAAAAAGAGGCUACCUUUUUAUAGACGUGCGUGCCAAAGUCUCUCUCCGAUCUGCUCAAUAAUAAUAAUUGGGAAGCUGAUAGGAAACACCGGUCUCAAAAGAUCUUCAAUCUGCAACAUGAGAGUGAUUCAGAAAUCAUAGUUCCAGUACCAAGCACAUACCCCAACCCCAUGGUUUCAGUUUUGCCCCACUACAUGGGAGUACCAAGCAUGAUCAACUGUGACCACAUCUGUAACCUUCUGGCAAUACGCGGCUUAUACACAAGGCCAUGUGAAAGGUGAAUGUAUCAUGUUAAAGCUUCAACUGAAGCCCGAAGAAAACUCAUGUUUUUCCGGAAAAUGGCGAAAACACCUUCUCUCAAUACUAGAUUGCUCGGUCUUCUUUGUUAUGCUUAACAAGCCAUAGCAGCUCAAUACAGUAGUGAUAAUGAUUAUAGUAAAACAUUUUACACUCGAUCAUAGCAGAUCUUUCUAUCUACUGAAGUUCUAAAAGGGUUUGCCUCAUGUUUGUGUUUAGAAUCAAUUAAUGAAUGACAUAACUUGUAACGGACUUUUACUAAUAUAUGUAAAGUUCUAAGCACAACAGAGGUCAUGAAUGUGUACAGUCGCGUAUCAUUGGUGCUCCCUAGUGAGAGUUUGUCGAGUUAUACGUCUCCAUUGCGUUAAAAUACGCACUUUCUGCAUUUGCGACCCUCAUCUGAAACAUUGUCCAUUCCUUUCUGCACCUUUCCCUCACCUGGCAUCGGGAUACAAAGUCAUAUUAGCUAAACUUAUACUUGUCUAAUUAAGUUUCCUGUACGUUUUUGGUAUUGUUGCUGCUUAAAGGGUAGCUUUUUGCCAAGAAGAAGAAUAAGAAUAAUUAGGUGGGUAAUUGCCAAGACAAUGACUACAAUUAAGAAGAAUAAGGGGAUUCACAUACCCCUUGCCAUGGUGCCUUUCCGUUUUGUGAUUCACCCUGCCAAAGCCAAGAGAUGAAUUUAGUAUUUCUAUCCAAUAUGUAAAAUUUGGUUACUAUGGAAAUGUGAAAGAGGGCUGUGUUGUCUUACCUGAUUACCAAGUGAUGGAACAGUUUGAUGAACAAUCCACUGAGAAUCUACAACUCCUAUCUUCUCAUGGGCAGGCUGUUUUCAAGUAAACAUAUUUGAAUUAUGACUUUAUGACUUCAGAUGAAGUCCCAACAAGGAAACUAAUCGUUGAAGAAACAUAAUAGAAACAGAUUGGACGUGGGUCACUCACCUCUACACAUUUUCUAAGGGCAAAGUCGAGACCCCACCCAUGGACCAAGUCAUUCUGCAAUCCCAAAGUGUUGCCAAUAAAAGUUAUAGAAAAGCACACAGUAUAGAUCAUAAAAUUUAAACUAGCAAGCUGGCAAAAUAAUCGAGGACUAAAAGUGGUGAUCAUGAACAAGAUUAUGAUCACCAAUUAUACCUGAAUCAUAUGCCACACACAGCGCCAGGCGCUUCGGGAAAAUACAGGAGCCAUGAUCUCAACAAACCUAAAUCAAACAAGAGUGGCAACAAGAAAUGAUUAUCAAACCAAAUGAGAGACAAAACCGGAGUACAGAAGCAAAGCAAAUAUAAACAACAUCAGCAAUUAUAAAUAUCAUUAGGUUCUUACGCUGCACAUGGUGGCAGAUGUGGGUCAGUGCACCAGCCUGGUUUCUCCUGUGUUUGUCUGGAAUAAAUUAGGGACAAGGAUUGCAAGGUUAUUUUAUAUUCUAAACCUCAAACUAGACAACUUUCAGCAUAGGUCAGACGAGCUUACUUGUGAACUUCACGGUCACCUCUUCUCUUUGUCAUCUGCCAUGUCAAUCCUUUGUUAGGUUCUAAACCAGGCUGUGAAAUUUCCAAACCAUGCUUCCUGACUAGCUUUAUGUAUCUGAUGUUGGAUACAUAAGAAGGCACAUGUAAGUUUUUCAGUAAACUAACAAAUACAACAUAAAGUUACUUGGUUACCAAAGACUCACUCUUCAGCAUUAAAAUGCUCAACUCCGAGGUCUUCAUCCCAGAUAAAUAUGUAAUCGUAAGGGGCCACAAUGUCAGGAUGCAAAAAUCGCUUGGCAUACCACCUUUGACAAAGAUUCCAAAGUCAUAAACCAGAAAUCCAUUACAUAAUUUUGAAGUACAAAUAUGAGGUAGCAAUGUUCUUACCAUUUAGUUUGCUUGCGAACACUAACAUGUAUAGCCCGCUUAGACCACUCCAGGUCAUCCCAUUCAGUUGUUAUCCCAUCGUAAUGGAAAAGAAGAAUCGUGAAGUCCUCUGAAAACUGUGAGAGAACCGUAUUUAGUUACCUACAUCCACAUCAGAGAGAGAUACAGAGAGAAAGAAAGAGAAAGAUACCUUUUUCACAGCUGCAUCAAUAUUCUUUUUCUGAUUGAUACCCACAGUGAAUGUCACAAGGUACCUAGGUUUGGUUGUUAAGUCCUGCAAGCCAACCAAAUAAGCAGCCUCUUAAUAAUAAACACCAUAAGACCACAUUAAAGAGUCACUGAAAGACUAGUGAAUGAAGCCUCAAAGUGAGGGACCAUCUAAAGUAUUUGCAAUGUUAUUCUGUUGUGUUCUAGAGGGAAUAACAAAUUGACAUACAACCCACACAUAUACUUCUAUUUUCACUGAAGUGAUCAUCACAAAAAUCAAUUUUCAAAACUUUUAUAUGAAUUACCACUCAACAAACAUCAACACAUCCUUUCUCAAAAAAAAAAAAAAAAAAACAUCAACUUAUAACCUUCCAGGUUGUUUGCACUAAAUCAUCAAGUCAUGUCAUUUUAGAGUCCAAUACACAAAAACAAAACAAAAUAUCUGCAAGAAAAACUGUUUUCUGGACAAUAAGUGGAUUCCAUGGACUCUACUAUGAAGACUCACAAAUACUAGAUUGGAGCAUUCCAGGGGUUGUGGAAAGCUCAAACUGUAACGGUAUUAAUUGUACAAGUAUAUGUAGAAUAGACACCUCACUAGGCUUGCCCCAUAAUCUGCGCAAGUAGAAAUCCGACUCAGCUUCAACAAUUCCUGGGGGUAGCAUUUCUGCACCUCUAGGAUUUGUGGGCACCCAAAUCUACAAAAAUGGAAAGGAAGAUUAGAUGAGCAUGAGGAGAUGUAACUGUUAAGAGUCUGGAUAAUCAAUUAUUAUUUGUGAUGAAAAGUUGUCACAUCGGAACAGGAAAUUUUCGACCAUACUUGUAUUGCUACACAUAUCACGUAAUUAUUACAAUCGCUAUAGCUCUUCCAACACUUGCUUUAGUAAUUAGAGGGUUCAGUUGAACAAUCAUGGUUAUCAAACUAUAAUCUAAGACAUUCCGAAUAAAUAAUUGUUUUUAAAUUAAAUUUUUUAAUUCAAGUCUGUCAUAUGCUUCCAGGAAAGAUGUAUCCAUAAAAAUUCAUACUAUUUAGUUAGGUAUCAUUGAGUUGAAACGGACCAAAAGUCUAUUAAUAUAUAACAAAUCUGCAAGGACUCAAAUGCAGUUAUAGAACUAGUUCAUUGAAUUUUGAAUAACCUUAGUGGCACACUCAAUAGAAUACAAAUUUCAUAAUGAUGUAAAACCUCUCAUCAUAGAAUUUCUACUAAUCAUGAUUAGGGAAGAGGAGGUAUACCUUAGAUGUAUCAUUUACUCUCUGAGAUUGAGAAGAGCUACUAUUUUUCUUCACAUAAGAAUAAAAAUCUGAGACACUUGAUUUCCCAUUGUCAUUGUAUGAUAGAUCAACUGAUGGAAGAAGGCUGGAUGAGAGAUUCAGCUGUCAAAGUUUACGCACAUUAAAUCUGUUUCACCAUCUCAGUGAGGAUGGAAAAUAGUAUAAAUAAAAAACAUUCCGCACCUUUGUUAAUGACAAUGUUGGAAAGGAUACACCUAUCAAGAAUCCAAAAACUACUCCUACAAAAGUUGUCACAAUAAGCCUCAUAGUCUCAUUCGGUUUUCUACUAACCGCACUGCAGGCAAAAAAAAAAAUGCAAAUGUUACAGAGUUAAUUGGAACUAGAGGCAAUUGGAACUCAAGAAUAAAAUAAUAAAAAAAACAACAGUCGGUUCUUUUGAAGGGAAAUAGGCUGUCAUAAAAUAUAACCUGCGUGAAAGGAUUCCCAUCUUAUUUACAAGCUUCUGACUACAAAUGCAUGGAAAAAGGAACUGCAAGUAGAAAGCGAUAGCUGAUCUGCAUUAUUUAACAGGUUUGAGUUGGCAAUUCCCCUUAAAAGAAAUGAUGAUCCUCAUGGAAGGAACAAAUACCUGGUUUGUGGUAUAAACAGGAAGAUAAGUUGGAGUACACUAAUUUCAGGAAUUCAAACAAGAUUUUAUAACUCCUUACUACUCAAAUUUAUAAAACUGAAGAAAUUUCAACUGAGAAUGACUAGGAUAACUGGGUUGACAAAAACAGAGAGAUAGGUUUACACUUGCAAGUCAUAGCCCAAAGCUCCUAAGCUGACAUUCUUCACAAUGCUAAGGAGAUACUGAAAGACGGAAACUCUGCAUUUCGCUCAAUGACCAAUCCUCAGUUUUGACUGCGUCAGACCAAGUUUAAGUGCACUCCUUCAAGAGUUUAAGCACGACUCUAUGAUUCAGUACCACAAGAAUUACAACUACCAAACAGCAGAGUAUGAUUCAAAUAUCAGUGUUGACAAAACCAUACAAAAGACUGGACAGCACUUACAACUCAAAAACCCAAAGCUUAAGAACAACUACUAACUCUCCUCUCUCAGUAGGAAAUCAACCUUACGGAGUACAAUGACCAUUUAACAGCAGCAAUUGCACACUCUGCACUCAAACAUAUCAACUACACCGUGUUCAAACUCAAUGUGAUCGAAACCACAAGCAAUAAAAAUCAUGUGCUUCUUCCUCCGUCACCUCUCCCACUAGAAAUUCAAAACACCUAUUCAAACCCUAAGAUUACAACUACUACUACCUCCCUCCCUCCCUAGCUACGCAACGCAUGUGCUCCGUUUGAAUUCACACACCAAAACGUCAACCCUAAGCAACAAAGACCGGCCUCCACACGAGAAACCGCGCUUACUUAGCCUCAAAGAUAGAGACGCAGACCUAAACAACGUAAACCACUAGCCUAAACCUCACAUCAUUAACCAAUUCUCAAUCAAACACAUCAAUUAUUUUCAAAAAUCGGAAAUAUUAACCUCCACGACCAAAAUCGAAUCUCUACGAGGAUCUAGCAGCUUCGAAAACAGCAAAAUCAUCAAUCGAUUUGCUUAAAACUCCGGCAAUCAGAUUCAAAAUGCGGAAAAUAAUAAACAAAACAAAACAAAAAACGAAAAAUCAAGAUGAACCGAGUAGAUAGCUACUGAAGUAUAUAACCUUUUUUUUUUAGUCAGAAGCAAAAUUAGAAACGUAAAUAGAAAACGAAAACGGACCUCAUAAGGAUGAAGAUCUGCAGGCGAGUCACGCGAGAAGUCCAAAGCAGCUGGGCCAACGAACUCGGAUGAUCUUCGAGGAACGAAAAGCGUGAUGAGAAAACGGCGAAACGGCGAAACGGCAAGAAGCGGUUUCAGUUUGGUCACGGCAAGAAUGUGAUGAUUCGAAGAAGAAGAAGAAGAAGAGAGCUGAGGGGAGACUUGGAUUGGACUAGGGAGGGAAACAUAAGAAUAAGGGGGAGAAAAUGAGGGAGAAGGGUCUUAAUAUUUAUCGGGGAUGGAUCUAUAACCGGUUCUUUAUUUUGUUUUUUGGGUUAGAAAUUUCAAAUACCGGAUUAUUUAGACUUGGAACAGUCCAUAAUAGGUAAAACCCAACUUCUAUUUAUUAUUCCAAUUUCAUAUGAUAUUUGGUUUUUUAUUUUAUUUUCUUUUUUGAGUUACACUAGAGAAAAUGUGGCGACUUUUGUCUUAGUGCUUUUGCUUUUCUGGCUUUUUCUUCUUGUUUAUUUCUUUGUGCCGCUUUUGGUCUUGUUGCUGUGUUUUUUCGAGUAACUAUUUUGUGAUUUUUGAUCACAGAAUGAUAUUUUCGUCUAUUUAUUAUUGAUUCAGAUUAUUAUAAAGAGCAAAUAGAGACAAAAAUGAAAUAUCUUUAGGUGACGAGUUGUGCAGAUUAUUAGGUUGUAAUAAUUUUCUCACUUUUUACCUAUGAGGGGAAAAUUAGAUGCUGUGAAAAAUUGUCAACUCAGUUAUGAUCCAUGGAAACUAGGUUAUGGCUCAAAUUGACUUACCAGAAAAUUAAAAAUAUGAAAGAAUUGUUUGUUAAACAUCACAAUCCUCAUAAACAAUUUGACCUUAUAUAUAUAUAUAUAUAUAUAUAUAUAUAUAUUUCUAUUUUUCCUUCUAUGGGGGAGGAAAAGUUUGAGGAGAAAAUUACUGAUCUUGAUUCAAAUUAGAUGAUACAGAGGUUAAUGUAGCAGGUCCCUACCACAAAAGAUGUUUCCUGGUUUUGGGGCCAGAAUCUCAUCAUCCACCCCAAGAUCUAGUACAGUUUCAAUUUAGUAAUUGGUUCUCUCUCUUAUUAUUUGCUAGCAUUUUCCAUAUUUAUUUUCAACUCAAAGACAUAUGCCAUUUUUAAGCACAACACAUCCAAACCUCAAAGUAGAAACAAUGGCCAAAAGGAAUUUUAAAACCAAAAAAAUUUCAAAAGUUGUAAACAAAAGAUCAAGUUGAGACAGUGAACACUUGUGACAAAGUAAGAUCUAUGUAACAAUGGCUUCCAUAUUCGAUGAUUACUUGUUCUUGGUUAUGAGAUUGAAUAAGAGCUUAAAGUAUGUGAGGAUGAGUUGAGAUUCAAAUUGAAGGCUUGGCAAUGCCAUAUUUUUAAUUUAAUAUACAAAAAUUCAAUAUACAUUUGCCACAAUGGUUAAGAGGCUGAAUAAAAAUCUUAUAAUCUUCUUUCAAAUCACAAAAUUAUCAAAAUAAUCGGACAUUGUGCUUAGUUACGACGCGCGUAUUGAAGACUUAGGGAUGUCAUUGGGUUACUUUUCUUUUGAUUUCAAAGAAAUUUCCGGUCAUGACUUAAUACCCAAUUAAUUAGGCCAUUUUGUCACAAGAUUAAGGAAGGAACAAGGUUUCAAAGACAACUUGACAAGUGACACAAGGAGAAGAUUAGGCUGUCUCAAUCAUUCUUGACUCCUCAACACUAUGAAUUAUUUAAAUCAGACGACUAGGAGGCCACUAGGGGAAGUACGAGUACGUUAGUGCCCUCAAAAUGCUCCCAUUAUUCUCUUGACCGCGCAUCAGACGGUUCAGAAUAGUCAAUCAGCCGUAAGCAACAAUUCGCGACCAAACGUCUGCACGACUUUGACUUAGCCCCGGCCCCGACCUGACCUAACACCCAGAGCAAGCACCGAGCUCCACGUGUCCCCCGCCACCCCCGUCAAGAGGGUCGGUACGCCAAGCGGCCACAUAUUUCCAGCCAUUUUGGUGCUUGCACGUGUCACGUGCACGCUCAAAGGCCUAAGCGGAUUCGGGCCCACGUUUUGGACAUUUCAGCAGGGACUGACAAUGAUGUGUCUAAUUCUUAUGGGCCAGGGUGCCAGGUCGUUCGUAUCAAACCGUAAUUAUACGAAUACAUGUACAGGGAUUAAUAUUCUCUUCUCCUUCUUUCCUGUUUUAUUGCUUAGCUUAGGGCUUAAGGUUAAGAAACAUGUUAGGGAUGAUUGAUAAUGCCAAGAGAUAUGAUAGAUCUGUAUCAUUCAGAUGUAAACAAAGUUUGUGUGACAACUACAUUUUGGUUAAGAUGAAUAAAGACAACGUGAAAAGAGUCUCUGUUUUUUCAGAAAUUAUAACGAUAUAAAAUAAGGACUAAUUUUCUUUUUUUGUGUUAGUUCUCAUUUCAGCUUGUAAGAUAAUUACAUUUGUUUAUAGAGAAUCACUUAAAUGUUACAUCUCUACAAAUAAAGCAAGUCAAAAUUACAUAGCACAAGAAAUUAAAUAUUUGAAAAUGUACAAAUAUAGGAAUGAAUAAAAAGUGUAAUAUCUAUUUUGGAUUUUGUGAGUUGAACCUAACUUAACCAAUUACCUAAGAAAUGAGAUGUUUUAAGUAUGGGCAGGCCUACACCUAAAUUAGGUAGUUGGGUGUAGUGUCCUUUGUCAUGAAUUGUUCAAGUGUGAGUAUGCCCCAAUAAUGCUCCCACUUUCAGAUUUUGUCACGUAUAGAUAUGAGUGGUCAUAUGACCCUAUGAAAUUUGCAGCCAUCAAUAGAAAAAUCUAGUUGUGAAUUAAGUGGAUGGUUUUCUUUGUUUUAGUCAAGGUUUGGCCUUUAUAUUCAUGAAGCUGACCCAUCCCCAACAGAGUCCUCCAUAGUUCAUUAGGUGGGGAGGUCACAGAUUAUAAGUGAGGGAAAAAAUGGGGUGAUUGGUGGUAAGAAUGAGAAAGGACUAGUGGUUUUAACUUUCAAGAGAAGAGACUAGUGGAAUCCUUCUCGUUCCACACCUCCACCAACAUGAAUAUAUCUGAAUACAUACAUGUGAAGAAUUAUUUUACCAGUAUAGCUUAAAAUUCAUGAAGUUAAUCCAUCUCCAAAGACUAGUAUACAAACCUUGGUUAGAGCUAGGCCACAAACUACUGAAGCAAACUGCAUUCUAUAAGCCAAUGUGAUUUAGGGCUGGAAAUUGAAACACAGGUCUUCUACUAAAAUAAGGAUCUGCAACUUGUCCAAAGACAAUGUGAUUUAGAACUGAAUAGUGAGCUAUCUACGUGUGUACAUCGUAGACUUGUGGUUCAACCUUGUCUCAGACUCUACCGUCAGUUCUCACGGCAAAAGGCUUCCUGUAUUUCCGGCACCCCAGAUGGGUUUGCACCGGAGAUGGCGUCCAGUCCUCCGUGUGGAUGAGCACCUCAGUUACCUGCAGGUCAAAGUAAUAAUAAAGCAGUGAUCUUAAUCACUUAACAUCAACAUGACAACCGAAGAUAACUGAGCCUUAGAAAGCAUAACUGCAUAACCGAAGAUUCUCACAGUAUGGUGUUCAGAUUUCAGAACAGAGAAAUUAUCGUCCAGAAACACAGUAUAGCACUAGCAAGGUCCAAAUUAAUCGAGGCAAAGCCCAGUACUCAGUAGAUUGUAAGCUUUAAUUUUUACACACAGUGAUCCAGAAUGAUACAUUUUUGGAAUCAGUUCUUCAAUAUAUGAGGUUUCAGUAGCCUAAUUCUUUUCAAUUAUUUCUGUACAAACUGUGCAUGAUGUGGAAAGACAGAAAGGCUAUACAGAAUUACUUGCUCCAAAUUGCAAAUAUUAGAUGCAUAAUGCAUGAUCAAGAAAGGACUCCCAAAUUCUACCACCACAUUCUCACUAAUAGUCAAACAGGGGCAGCAGGACUACGCUUUUCUGUUCGUUGAUCUAUGCAUCCAGAAGGGGGCCAUCAGUACCAGAGAAUUCCAUGAGAGAAGGAAGCCAGAGUUCGACUCGAGUUCCACCUGCUCCAACGGCAGCAUCUGUGUUCCGAGGUGAUAUGACACGGACAACACAACCAUAACUUUCGAGUAUCUCGCGAGCAACAGUCAGCCCAGCAACAAAAUUCCAUGUCAUGUUGUCUUCAACCAUAUUUUCUGAGAGGAGAUCAGUUCCAAAGGGUGCGAGGGAAUGCAUUUGUGUCUGAAGUUGAAAACAUCAAAAGUACAAUUUAUCUAUUAGAAAUAGUAAUAGGCCAAAAAUACAUUUCAGCUGUGUAAAAUUGCAGGUAUUGAUUUGGUUACAAAUUAUCACAAAGAAGAAACCCUGUUUAGUAAGUCUCCAAGCAAGCAACUCUAGUAUUGUUGACAGUAUGAACUGUUAGUAAGGUUUUAUCUGAACAGAAAGUCCCAUUUAAAUAUAUUUUUCACUACCACACCCCUAAAGUAUUUGAACGUUCAAAACAUAUAAUUGUUGGUACUCUCAAAGUUCAAAACAUAUAAUUGUUGGUACUCUCAACAGGCGGUGAGUGAAAAAUGGUAAAUGUAUAGAAGGCAAAGUUUACGAAGUUAGAAGUUUGUGAUUUUACCAUAUAAUGCAUGUCAGGCCCAUUGUCAUCAAUUACUACAAGAGCACCUCCUGCUGGAGCUCCAGUAGACACAAUUUCUACCUUUCCCCCAGCAUGUGUACGCAAUAAUGCACUUUCGAUUAAAUUGCUCAGAGCCUGUCGUAAAGCAGGUUCUUCGACAGCUACUUCCAAAGAUUUUCCAAGUUCACUGAGUUCUACUACACGCUGCUGGUUAUGGGCAAGAGGUUUUACAGCUUCUACCAAAUCUACCAGUAUAUCAGAAACAUUGCAUGGUCUUCCUGACAUAAUUGACAAGCGUAAGACAUAUAAAACUUCAUGAAUGAAAUCAACAUUAAGUUAUCUCGUAUGCCAAGUAUUCAUAUCGAGCUGCAUGUACUUGUGAAUCAAAAUUUAUGCAGUCAAUCGUUUGUUUAUCAUCUCAAGUAUGAACCUUAGAACUAUACCUACCUAAUUCCAUCUUGCUGUAAAGGAGCAAGGGCUAGAGGUGGCAUCGGCAUUUCUAUAUCUUUGGUUGCAGCAUUUAAAGAAAGUUGUUCACGAGAAAUUUGCAUCUUUAUGCUGGAACUAUCACUUGGCAAGUCAUUCAAUAAUUGGGACUUCCGUGCAUCAGGAUAGACAUAUGUAGAGUCAUGUUCGUUAUAGCGCAUAAUAUUAGCCUGAAAAGAAUUAACAUGAAAAGGUCAAUCAAUGUGUCUUGGACUAUAAAAGUAACCAACAACUAUAAUUCAGGAAAUUAGAAGAGCUUCAUAAUUUUUGAAGAAAUCAGCAGUCCCAGAGAGAGAAAGAUUGAGUGCCUUAGUCAAGUAAACAGCAUCUUGGAGUUGCUGAAGGGUAUCUUUCACUUGAUCGCCUUGUACCAGUAUAUCUUCAACAAUGUCAUAAGAAAUCUACAUAAGCAUAUGACUCCAAUGUAAAUAUAGGAUAUAGAACAUAUAUAGAUUCCUUUCAAAAAACAACAUAUAUUGAUAUAUAGGUUAUCUGAAACUUAAAAGCAAGGUUCUGUUAGAAGACAAACCUCACUUCUCUUUGUAUGCAAGGACAACAUUUUACUUAAAGUUCGAAUGCUAGAAAGAGGACCACGAAUCUGCAGAAAUACAAUAACAAGAAGAAAAUUUUAAUCACUCCAACAAGCAAAUGCAAGAAACCCAAAUACUACAAAAAUUGUCUUACCUGCUCAACGAGACUGCUCAUCCUUAUGUUAUUCUGCCACGACGAUUGCUGGAGUAACAUUGCUUUCUGAAAAAGAAAAAGAUAAACAUUUUCCCUAAAUCAAAAUGUGAAAGAAUUUGAAAAGACAAAGAUACAGAAGCAUAACCUCGUAAACUACCUGAUCCAUAAUAUAUGCCAUAGCCAAAGACCGAGAAAUGUUGAUAGCAAUUGACCUCUGCUCCGCACUAAACCUGUACAUAGUCGCUACUUGUUCCGGCUCAUCCUCCAAAGAGUGAUCAUCCCAAGACUUGACAUCAGAGCCCCGGGGCAACGCAUAGGCUUCCUCCGGAGUCGGGCAGUGAAUCAAAUCACAGCCUUCACCCCGGACACUCCCAGCCGGCGGCAUUUCCAUCCUCGGUGACUCAGCAACCAAGAACCCCACCACAAAAGGGUGCUUCACCAUAGGAAACACCAUAGCUUUACACUCGGCUACAACUUCCACCUGCAGAACGUGUUCCACUAACUCACUAACAUAUCAAUUUGCAACUCUAGAAAUUCAAAACUCAAACUCAUCGGCUAACAACUUACUUUGUGAUUGGAAAGAACAGCCUCGGCGGCGCGAAAACCAGUAGCACUAAAACUUCCAACUAAAAUCACAAUAUCUGAUGCAUUCACUCCCGGAUAGCAAGUCACUCUACGCAGCUCUAACCGGUCCAUCACAUAACUACCAGCUGGUCUUACAUAUACCUAAUCAUAUAAUCAAAACAAAAUUAGUAAUAAUUGGAGAAAUUAAAUAUGAAUUGAGCUAAAUCGGAAAGAAUGAUGAAGUGACUGACGGAGAGGAGAGCGUCGGGAUCGACGAUACGGCGGAAGAGGUCGAGCUGCUGAAUGCAGAGGCGCUGGAAGUCGGGGCUAGGCAAAACAAUGCCGUUUUUCUGAUCCUUUUCGAUUCUCUGCAUGAAGUGGACGGGGGAGGUGGAGGCUCUGCGGAUGGCGGAGGCGACGGCGGAGGCGGAGGGGACCAUGGAGUUGUUGGAGUCGGGGUGGCCAUCGGAGGGGGUGUGGGUGACGUGGCGGAUGGUUUGGGGGGUGGGGGAGGAGGAGGCGGUGGCGACGAGGUGAGGUCUGUGAGUGGGUUUGAGGGAGGUGGAGGGGAGUUUGGGGGGAAUAGGGGGAAGGAGGAGGGUAGAAGUGGAAUUUGAGGGGUGUUGGUGAGUGAUUGCAGAAGAGAGAAGCAUUGGGAGGAGUUGCAGGAGGAGGUUCGGCCGUUGAGGGAGGAGGAGGAGAUAAAAGUCAAUUUGCCGAUAAAAUGCAACUGAUUUUUCAGUUGAGGUUUUGGAGGAAGGAAAUAACAGAAAAUGAGUAGAGAGUACGGACGGGGGGAGAUGUGGCCAACUGUGAGCCAAACGACGUCGGGUUGCUGCAGCAACUUGGCGGUAAAAAAGUGAAAAUUAGAAGGCGACGGACGCCGUCUGUGGGAAUCGAACCCACGACCACGUGGUUAAAAGCCACGCGCUCUACCAGCUGAGCUAAGACGGCUGUUGGAUCGGUGUUCUAAUUGUUGUAUCAAACUUACAAAAAACUAAGUAAUGAACGAUUUAGAAGAGAAAAAAAAAAGACUCUAUUGGAGAUGCAGGGGAUCGAACCCUGUACCUCCCGCAUGCAAAGCGGGCGCUCUACCAUUUGAGCUACAUCCCCAAGAUGCUACUCCUUUCUCUUAAGAACAUAAUUAUCGACUGUUAAUAUGUUAACACAUUUUCUACCCUCUUGAGGUUACCAAAUCUUCAUCUUCACAAAUGGUUCGUUUUCAUUCUUUAAAAAGAACCGAUUAACUCCACAAUUGAUUAGGUAUACUUAGUAUUACAACUCGGGACGUUUUCAACUUGAAAUUGUAUAUGAAUUAAAUAAUAAGGAGGGAAUUCGAGUCUCUAACAUGCAUCAUAUCAAAUAAAACUAAGGUAUUUCCUUAACCAUUCUUUCGUUUUGAAUUCUUACGUUUAUUACGUGUUGUAAAGUCGAACAAUUUUGCGUUCGCCGAAAUGAUUAUCAAAACAUCACGCUCAACAUAUUUGAAAUGAAAUAUGUUUAAGUUGGUAAAAAUAAGAGCGAUGAGCUGACAAAUGGAAUCUUCUAUUACUAGCAGUUUUUUAGCAGGCUAAAAUAAGAGUCAAAGACAGUUAAUCACAAACUUGCAAGACUGAAAUCUUGUAAUUACUCCACCUAAUGCUAUUUUAAAUCCUUGACCACACUUCUAACGGCUCGCAACUUUGACCCCACGAACCCUAACCGCUCCCAUUCCCCUUCCUUUUGCCUCCUCACUUUCACCGGUUCCUUCUUUAUAGCCGUUGCUCUCUCUCUCUCUCUCUCUCUCUCUCUCUCUCUCUCUCACAACCACAAUGACGACCACCGCACAAAACGCCGCCGUUUCACACCCCGAGCUCUCUCCAUCAAUCUCCGCCCCGCCGGAUUCAGUCUCCGCGUUUUCUUCCCUAAAGCGGAAGCGGCCACCGAAGAUCGAGAUCCCGAACGUCCUGCAAGAAAUUAAAACCGAGAAGAAGCACGCGCAGCGAAACGGCGUCGUUUGCUUCGGCGGGAACGGAGUGGCGGUCUUCUCCGCGAAAGGCAAGAAGAAGUUCAUGGAAGACGCGCAUAAGAUUGUUUCUUGCUUAGAGGGCAACUCGAAGAGAGUAAGGAGUCAAUUGAUGAAUUUUCCAAUUUUGGAUUGAUGAUUUUUAUUUUUAUUUUUUUUAAAUUUUAAUUUCCAAUUGUGUUGAUGAAAAUGUGUAGGGUUUCUUUGGGGUUUAUGAUGGGCAUGGUGGAAGUAAAGCUGCAGCGUUUGCUGCUGAGAAUUUGCAUAGCAAUAUAAUUGAAAUGAUGGAAGGUUGUACAGAAAAAGAAGAGGCGUUUAGAGCUGCGUAUCUGAAAACAGACCAGGAUUUUUUGAAGCAGGUAAGUCUUAUCUUUUCGCUCAAUUGAUCUGAUUCGAUGUGUUUUUUGCUCCGAAUUGGAGGUGAAUAUAUGACAUUACAUGAGGAUGCAAGGUGUUAAUUGAAUUAUGAACUGUUAAUUGAUUACUGGGAGCAAAUGCAGGGUGUUGGGAGUGGUACAUGCUGUGUGACUGCGUUAGUCGAUGAGCAGGAGGUUGUUAUUUCGAACUUGGGAGAUUGUAGGGCUGUUCUCUCUAGAGGUGGAGUGGCGGAAGCUCUUACAACGGAUCAUACUGCGGCACAGGAGAGCGAACGCCAAAGAAUACAGGAUAAGGUAUUUGACAUCAUAUUGUCUAAAAUUGCGUUGUGUUGGUGGAUAUUUGAGGAAUGUCUAAGUUUUAAAUGAUGGUAAAUGUUGAUAUUGUGAUUAGGGAGGAUAUGUGGAGUUCCAUAGAGGAGCAUGGAGGGUCCAUGGGAUUCUCUCUGUUUCGAGAAGCAUUGGAGAUGCUCAUUUGAAGGACUGGGUGCUGGGGGUGCCUGAAACAAAGAUCUUACAGCUGACUCCUGAUAUGGAAUUUGUUGUAUUAGCUUCAGAUGGUCUGUGGGAAAAGGUAAAUGAAGUUUUGAGCAUGAUAAGUUCAUGUUGGAUUUGGAAAUAGCUCAAAAAUGGGGCAGAUCUAUAAUAUCUUGUUCUCUCAUUGCCUGUUUCACCACCUGCUUGUGCAUUCUCAUCUAGGGCAAUCCUAGGUCCAUCUUUAAUAUUCAAAAAUACUCUGCAUUGACUUUCCUUUUGAUGUCCUGAUAUUCUUGUGAGGCACUGGAAUGGCAUCGAUCAUAUGAAAAUAUGUGUGUGUUGUGUUUGUGCGCACGCGUGUGCAUAGGCUAGGUUCCUUGUAUAAGGUUAAUUUUCAUCCUGAGUGUCUUCUUUUUCCAGUAUUGACAUUCAAUGAUCAUGAUUCCAUUGAAGAUUUUGAAUUACAUAUAGCAUUUAAGUUUGAUGUAGGUUCUGUUAUGCUCGAUCAAUGCAUCACAUGGCAUGCAUCAUAACUCCUGGGCAGAUAAUUAAAAUGCUGCUGUGACGAAGAAGCUAUUUAAUUUUUUGCUAUAUAAUGGGUUAAUUUUGUUUUCCAGAGUGUCUUCCAUUUCCAGCAUUGUCAUCAAUGAUCAUGUCCUGUUAUUAUUAUGCAAGUUUUGAUUUAAGAGUCUGUGUAGUUCAUAACUUCAUAUGGCAUUUAAGUUUUGCUCUAGGUUCUGUUAUUGCUUUAUGAAUGCAACACAUGACAUACAUUAUAUCUCCAGGCCAGAGAAUUAAACUGAUGCUUGGUGAAGAAGCUAAUUAGGUGUCUCAUUGAUAGUAGGACUUGGAUAUGAUGUGCAGAGAUUAAUUGUGAAAUCAAUCGUGCAUAAACUUUUCAUUAGUUUGAAAAUUCAAGUGUAGGGUAACAAAUGUUUAACAUCCUGUCCAAAUUUUUGAAAAUCAUUCCUUCUAAAUUUUGUGCUGAUCAUUUUAUCUAGGUUGGGAACCAAGAAGCAAUUGACUCGGCGACACGAAUAUAUUCAGUUCAGAAGAAAAUGGCACCCCCAGGAAAUGGACUGAAAGUUAACGAAGAGGACCAUCGGUGUGUCAGUGUUAGCCCUUCAUCAAAAUUGCGAAGGACUAUGUUGGUAAAGGAAACAAAAGUGACCCAAUCCUCAGGAGAACUUCAGAUAGAUACUAAUGAUGAGAGUGGCUGUGUUAGUGCAAGCCCUUCAUCAAAGUUGCCUAGGAUUUCAUCGGUGAAGCAACCAAAAGGGACUCAAUCCCCUGGAGAACUAAUGUUAGAUGAUAAUGAGGAUUAUGGCUAUGUCAACGUGAGCCCUUCAUCGAAGUUGCGAAGGAUUUCCUUGGUUAAGCAUCCAAAAGGGACCCAAUCUCCAGGCUACAAGAAGACACUCUUCAGCUCUAAAGAUGCUGAUAAUGACUUCCCAAGUGAAAAUGAAAGCCCUCCAUCAAAGCCAAGAAGGUUAUCAAUGGUAAAGCGAGUAAAUAUAAAGACUGAAUCUCCCAUAAAAGAGAAGAGUGGAUGUAAGAUGAGACCUUCCUGUGGCGAGAAUGAUUUUGCAAGUGAAAACGAAAGCCCUCCAUCAAAGUCAAGGAGAAUAUCAUCGGUUAAACGAGCAAACAUGAAGAGUGAAUCUCCCAUAAAAGAGAACAGUGGAUGUACAAUGAGCCCUGCCUCUGGUGGAUUGGUGACUGCUUGCAAGGAGCUUGUGAGCCUUGCUCUGAGUAGAGGUAGUUUGGACGACAUUACCGUAAUGAUAAUUGAUCUCAAUCAUUUCAGAUGCAACGAGGCCAGGUGACACAGAGCUGUUGAAAGUCUAAUCCUCACUGAAUCUACAUAAACCUGUUGAGGGAGUAUACAUUAGAUUCUUUAACCAGCUAGUCACUUUUUCUCUCUAAAAACCUUAAUGAUCUCGCGCCACCUGAAGCUGACUCUAAUGUUAAUCUUCAGUUCUGAACUACCACUCUUUUGUUAGUGAUUCUUGCUCAGCUUUGAUUUGUACAACGUGUGGAUAUCUGUGAAUGUAGGUAUUGCUGUAUUGAAUUACAAUGUACCGGUGAUAAUUGAAGCUUCAGUAUCCGUUCACUGUGUCAUAUCCGUUCUAGAUGUCUUUUCUAGAUGAAGCAUCAAUGAAAGUUUAACAGUGUCAUAUCCGUUCUUCUGUCUUUUCUAUAACCUUGCCCACCACAGGUCCGCAGUACAGGACAUUGUACUCCAUUUUUUUACUGUAUGCUGUUCAACGCUGAGGUGAAAAAACCCUGGUGAACUACACAAUGCUUAAACAAAUCAAAUCAUGUGAAACUAUGAUAACCCACUGUAAACACGGAAAAUCUGCGACAAAUUACAGAAAGACACGUGUACAAAGAAUAAUAUAAUUUUAUUGAUAUAAUACGGGUUACAAAUCUUUGUGAACUCCUCUGAUUCUAUCUCCGAAUAUGGAUUUGACUCAAGGGUGACAAACACUUGUUCUUGAGACGUAAAGGGGUCACGAGAGUUGAUCACGCUAGUGUUUGGUGAAGAACUGGCUAUUUGGAAGCUUGAUAGUUCUUCGGGGGAUUUUGAGACUUCUGAGUUCUCGGUAGUGAUUUUUCUCUCUGUUGUCGAAAGUCCUCCUCUUGAUAUGAGAGGGGGUAUUUAUAGUGUCUAUGCUCCUCCGUAAAUGGAAUGUAUUGAAGUCACCACUUUAAUUGUAUUCCUUAAUGAUAUAAUUAAAUCAAUCGCUUUUGAUUAAUUGAUUCAAUUAUUCAAUUUACCGUAAUUAAAUUAAUCAGUCUUAAUUGAUCGAUUUAAUUAUGACCGAUAAGGUAUUUCACCCAUUUGAUUAAAUGUCUGAUUUCCUUUUCGAUAAUCGAUUUAAUUUUUGAUUGAUAUCUGAUUAUCGAUUGACAUUUAAUAUUUGAUUUUAGUCAGAAUUUAAGGUUUUGUUGUCGACCGACCACUUACAUGUCGCCACAUGUCAUUUCCGACUACUUUUCAACUUUGUCAACUCACGAGCCACUUAUGCAAUUUGUCGGGCCCAUGCGUCUUCCGAAUAAUUUAAUGAUUAAAUUUUAUGUGUCUACAAAUGCCCCCACUUCAAGGUGCGUCGUAGUCAUGGGUCGGAGGUGUGGCUUGAAGUCCAUGCUUUUGAUACGGACCAUUUUGGGCCACCUUCUUGUGCUCCAAAGUGUGGACUUCCCGAAUUUGUAGGGAUUCCUAAAUUUGCAAGGGUUCCCUAUAUUUAUAGGGAUUCCUAAAAUUUGCAGGAGUUCCCUAUGUUUGUAGGGAUUCUUCAGAUUUGCAGGAUCCCCAAAUUUGUAGAGAUUUCUCAAUUUUGUAGGAUUCUCUAACAUUUUGGCUUGGUUCGGUAAAGAUUUCUGAGCUACCGAAUGCAUAUGAAAAGAAACAUUAGAUAUGUUCUUUCUUCGAUUUAAUUGAUCAUUUUUAAGAUUUUCUCCGAUCAAUAAUUUUUAGAUACCAAGUAAUUUGGUAUGACCGGAAAUCUUUGAUUCCCACCAUAAUUUUUUAGUUUCAACUAGGAAAUUACUUGUGCAGCAAACCCUAAAACCUCAAUAUAAAUCGGGAUAGUCGCUUGAACUUUGAACUCAUCUUUACGGCCGUCGCAAGCUAGGGUUUAGACCCCACCGUCUACAUCACUUCUCCUUCUUUGUUAUUGGUCGAAUGCUAAGGUCUGAAAUCUAAGGAGAGCUUCUAAUGAGGACCUUAUAAUGAGGACUAAGUGAGGACUUUCAAAUGAAUGGUUGGAUGAAUGUUUUAACUUUUAAUUGAUAUUUUUAAAUUCCUAUGUGCAUGUAAUCCAACCAUUCAUUUGAAAGUUCUCACUUGAUCCUCAUUAUAAGGUCCUCGUUAGAAGCUCUCUUUAGAUUUCAGACCUUAGCAUUCGACCAAUGUAAUCCCUCGGUUGAUUUCGCAGUGCUCAGUUCAUGGGUCCCCAUUCCGUUCCUCAUCUGCAUAGUGCAAAGAGACAAUUUUUUUUUCUUUUUCUCGGCAUGCACAACAGAAGAAAUUUAAGGUGCUUGAAGGUUCCACUUUUAGUUUGAUUUCUCUUACUAACGCUCUGACGUGCCCAUAUAGGGCACCAUCAUAGUUAAUCAUGGAAUGGAUUGACAUGGGUAGCAACUGAACCCCCUUAAUUAACCAUUCUCAUGGUGUAACCCUUUUCUUCUCUUACAUUUGUUGGGUUUUUUUUUUUUUUUUUUUUUGUGUAUUAUCAACAAUACUAGUCGUACCGAUACGUAAUUCCUUCUUCUUUUUGUCAGGAGUAUGGGUGGAGGAGCAAGAAUGAUAGUGUACACCUGCAGAUUAAGGAGUAUGCGACCUCAAAUAAAAGAACACGAACACCUAACCACUUGGUUUCUUCCAUGUCUUAAGUGUGGGAUUAAUCUCUCAAAGUGUUUAGGCUUUGCGUACCUUGGCGGCAAUUGAAGAACGCAAAGACUUAACUACUUGAUUUCUUCCACGUCUUGGGCGUGGGAUUAAUCGCUCAAAGUGUUUAGGCUUUGCGUGACUCGACAUCAAUUGAAGAAUGCGAACACUUAACCGCUUGAUUUCUUCCACCUCCGACAUGGGAUAAAUUACUCAAAGUGUUUAGGCUUUGCAUGACUCGGCGGCAAUUGAAGAACGCGAACACCUAACCACUUGAUUUCUUCCAUGUCCGACGUUGGAUAAAUCACUCAAAGAGUUUAGGCUUUGCGUGACUCGGCGGCAAUUGAAGAACGCGGACACCUAACCAUGCCACUUGAUUUCUUCCAUGUCUUAAGCGUGGGAUAAAUCACUCAAAGUGUUUAGGCUUUGCGUACCUUGACGGCAAUUGAAGAAUGCGAACACCUAACCACUUGAUUUCUUCCACGUCUUGGGCGUGAGAUUAAUCGCUCAACGUGUUUAGGCUUUGUGUGCACAACGACAGACGACAAAAUGAAGAACGCAGACAACCUAAAUGCUUGAUUUCUUCCACUUUCUGAAAGUGAGAGGAAUCAUUCAAAGUGCUUAGGCUUUGCGUAUUUUUGACUACGAAAGGAAGAGUAGAAUUCCGAAGAUUGUGCAGAGGCUUCCUCUUUCAAGUUUUGUAUGUCCCUUCUUUGACUUGGGAGACACCUCCAAAUUCUCGAGCCAUAAUGAAUUCAAUGUAGACUUUGAUAGCAAGCUCAUUACCUUGUUUUGACACGACAAUACUCGUAACAACUUCCUGAGCAAGCCCAUUUUCUUGUUUUAUUAUGACUGAACUCAGAAACUCAGAAACUCAGAAGCAUCUUCCAAGCUGCCUACGUACUCUUAUGAGAAAGAGAGAGAUCAAGUCAUGAUGUAGUUCAAAGAUUUUGUGUGUGUGUGUGCGUGUGUGUCAUUCGCAGUUUAAGCUCGUGCGGACAAGGAGCAUUUUGACUCUUGAGUGGUCUACAUGAGGCUCGGCAUGUUGCAUGUCCCUAGCAAAGACAUCGAUGACAUUGCUUUAAGUUCUUCAUAGAUGAAGGUAGCAUGAUUUGACUGAGCCAUGUCAUCUUCAACGUCUAAACAUAUCUUCCCUUGUUGUGCGAGCUUCAUGAUGAGGUCUUUCAAGACGAAGCACUUCUCUACCGGAUGACUGAUGACACCGUGGUACUUGUAGUAUUUUGAAUCAUUGACGCGACGCAUCUCUUCUGGACGUUUGUAGUCUGGCAAUUUGAUUAGUUCUUUUUCAAGCAAGUUUUCCAACAUCUCAGCAACAUCAGAAUCUAGGAAAAGGUAACUUUUAGGUUCCAAGUCUUUUAGAGUUUGCCUCCUUACUUGAUCUUGAGUCGACUGAAACUUCUUUCGUUCAUUUGAUUUGACUCACAUUGUGAUCCAUGCAGGAGCUGUGCUAAUUGCGAGUGACUCCAUAACAUGCUUGUGACUAUGUGGUUCAAUGACUUCACCUUGUCUUUGACCAUGACUAGCCAAGCUAAGUUCCAUGUUAUGAGCUCGAGUGGCUAGUUCUUCGAAGGUGCGAGGCUUUAUUCCUUGAAGAAUGUACAACAAAUCCCAAUGCAUGCCUUGAAUGCACAUCUCCACUGCUGAUAAUUCUGAGACUUAGUGUACGCCAACGAUUGAUGAAUUCUACAGCAGACUCGCCCUUUCGUUGUUUGGUGUUGGCGAGCUCUAACAUACUCACCAUGAGACGUGUGCUAAAUAAGCGGUUCAAGAACUCUUUUUCCAUUUGCUCCCAGGUGUCAAUGGAUUCAGGCUCCAAGUCUGUAAACCAUUCAAAAGCCUUGCCUCGGAGUGAGCGAACAAAUUGCUUCACAAGAUGAUCACCAUCGGUGCCAGCGCUGUUGCAUGUUUCAAUGAAAUGUGCGAUGUGUUGCUUGGGGUUACCUUUACCAUCAAAUUGUUGAAGUUUGAGAGGUUGGUAACCAAUUGCCAUCCUUAAAUUGUCUAGCCGCUUGAUGUAAGGCUUGGAAUAUGUCAUUGUGUCUCGAGACGAACCGCCAUAUUGAGCUUUGAUUGUGUUGGCAAUCAUGUCUUGAAGCUGUUGAACUGACAAUGAAGCUAGGAUGGAAUUUGAUUCUCCUUUUUGCUUGGAAGAUGAUCCACCAGACGUGUCUUUCUUUUCAUCAUGCAGGUUAUUAUCCGAGUCAUUGUCAUGUUGAACUUCUAGCUUCUCCAUAAGCGAUGCAAUUUCUACGUCCUUCUCUUCAAUGGUCUUUUGGAGCUUCUCCACUGCUUCAGUCAAUUGAGCUAUUUGGGCUACUUGUUCUUCCACGGUUGUGACUCUAAUCACCAUGAUUUGCAUAGUGCAAUGGUCGUCUUCUAGAAUCGCUUCAUUUUUAUUGUCAAGAGGUAAUUCCAUGUGUGAACCUAUCUCUGAAUCAACUUUGACCGCGAGCAAGGGAGAAUGUUUCCUUGAGUUCCCGGAUGACAUUGAACGUCUUUGCUUAAUGAGGUUUGCCCCCAUUCACUAGUGGAAAAAAUCACUUAGCCGACGGAACAAUAAUAUUUCCGUCGCCUAAGAUCUACUUAGCCGACGGAAAAAUAUUUCGUCGGCUAAGAAGAUCUUAGGCGACGGAAAUUUUUACCUAGCCGACAGAACAUUUAUAUAUAAAUAUAAAUGAUUAUUUAUGAUAACUUAGGCGACGAAAAAUUAUUCCGUCGCUUAGGUUAUAUCUUAGUUGACAGAAAUAUCUACUUAGUCGAUGGAACCAAAUUUAAAAAAAAAAAUUAAAUUAAAAUUUUUGGCGGGAUAACUGCCGCUUAAANNNNNNNNNNNNNNNNNNNNNNNNNNNNNNNNNNNNNNNNNNNNNNNNNNNNNNNNNNNNNNNNNNNNNNNNNNNNNNNNNNNNNNNNNNNNNNNNNNNNNNNNNNNNNNNNNNNNNNNNNNNNNNNNNNNNNNNNNNNNNNNNNNNNNNNNNNNNNNNNNNNNNNNNNNNNNNNNNNNNNNNNNNNNNNNNNNNNNNNNNNNNNNNNNNNNNNNNNNNNNNNNNNNNNNNNNNNNNNNNNNNNNNNNNNNNNNNNNNNNNNNNNNNNNNNNNNNNNNNNNNNNNNNNNNNNNNNNNNNNNNNNNNNNNNNNNNNNNNNNNNNNNNNNNNNNNNNNNNNNNNNNNNNNNNNNNNNNNNNNNNNNNNNNNNNNNNNNNNNNNNNNNNNNNNNNNNNNNNNNNNNNNNNNNNNNNNNNNNNNNNNNNNNNNNNNNNNNNNNNNNNNNNNNNNNNNNNNNNNNNNNNNNNNNNNNNNNNNNNNNNNNNNNNNNNNNNNNNNNNNNNNNNNNNNNNNNNNNNNNNNNNNNNNNNNNNNNNNNNNNNNNNNNNNNNNNNNNNNNNNNNNNNNNNNNNNNNNNNNNNNNNNNNNNNNNNNNNNNNNNNNNNNNNNNNNNNNNNNNNNNNNNNNNNNNNNNNNNNNNNNNNNNNNNNNNNNNNNNNNNNNNNNNNNNNNNNNNGGCGGCACCUCCUCCUCCUCCAAGCAGCGUCUCCUCCUCCUCCCUUUGCCGGGGGUGGUUGACGUCUGGACGGUUACUCUCCGCGGCAUAAGUAAGGCAAUAGAUCGUUGUACGUGCGGUUCCUUGACGGUAGAAUCCCGGCGAGUUUAGCGUCGGAGGUGGAGUGGAGUUGUUCGGGAACACGAAACAUAACCGUCGUGGUCGCCGGAGAAGAGGAAGAGAAGGAAAAAAAAGACCAAAAAAAACAAAAAAAAACUGCCAGUUAUUCUAUAAAAAAAAUUUUUAAUUUUUACUUCCGUCGACUAAGAUCUUAGGAGACAGAAUAUUCCGUCGGCUAAGAAAAACUUAGUCGACGGAAAAGUAAUUUCCGUCGACUAAGUUCCGUCGAAUAAAAUCUUGGCAGACAACGCUUAGCCGACGGAUCUUAGCCGACGGAAUUAAUCUUUGCAGACGAAAUAUAUGUCUUAACCGACGGAACGGGUUCCGUCGGCUAAUAGCCAUAAUCCAGUGGUGAUUGUAGUCAAGGCGGUGAUCAGCUGAAGCGAAUUCGAGGCAUGAAGGUCGAAUGUAGCGAGUUGAAAUGACUUACUAUGAGCAUCAUGACGACCAAGGUUUCUACGGAUUUUCAUAGUAGUUACCGUGUUGGUCUUGUUUGUUGAUUUGAUUUGCGCCACCUUUGAUUCCAUGUGAUGAGAAUGACGCGAUCGUCGGAGAAAGUGGUGAGAGGCAGAGAUAGUCCCACUGGGCGCGUCAAUUUUGUAAACACGGAAAAUCUGCGACAAAUUACAGAAAGACACGUGUACAAAGAAUAGUAUAAUUUUAUUGAUAUGAAUGUGGGUUACAAAUCUUUGUGAACUCCUCUGAUUCUAUCUCCGAAUAUGAAUUUGACUCAAGGGUGACAAGCACUUGUUCUUGAGAUGUAAAGAGGUCACGAGAGUUGAUCACGCGACUAGUGUUUGAGAUUUGAGUUUGGUGAAGAACUGGCGGAAGCUUAAUAGUUCUUCGGGGGAUUUUGAGACUUCUGAGUUAUCGGGAGUGAUUUUUCUCUCUGUUGUCGAAAGUUCUCCUCUUGAUAUGAGAGGGGGUAUUUAUAGUGUCUAUGCUCCUCCGUAAAUGGAAUGUAUUGAAGUCACCACUUUAAUUGUAUUUCCUUAAUGAUAUAAUUAAAUCAAGAGUAAAUGACCAUUUACUACUAAUUUAACAUUCUUUUAGCCCAUUCCAAUGAAAAUCUAUUCAGCAACCCAAUUCCAAUGAAUUCUAACAAAAAGACGUCAAUACCCUCAUGCUAAUUUAACUCUCUUUCUCCUCUUUUUUCCCGAUCAUUAACUCUCUCUCUCAGAAAACUCUCCACCGCCAUUGAAGCAAUCUCACUAUACUCCGAGACCUUCUCGGCCGUCUCGGUACUCUCCAUCGCCAACUCUUCGUCGUCCUCCACCACCACCACCACCGGCUGCUUCAUCUUUGCGGAGGAGGAAGGAGCAGCCGCCUUAGAUUGCUUCGCCUUCGGCUUCGACUUCGUUGCCGCCUCAAUUUCAAUGCACGGCUGCAAACCGGCGUCUUCGUCCUCCACCACCGGCUGCUUUAGCUUUGCGGAGGAAGAAGAAGCGGCCGCCUUAGAUUGCUUUGCCUUCGGCUUCGACUUCGUUGCCGUCUCGAUUUCAGUGCACGGCUACAAACCGACGUCUUCUGGUUUUGGCGGCGGCUUCCGCUUCUUCGCGGCGGAAGAGGAAGCCGGAGGUAAACUUGAAAAUAUUGUUUUGCAAGUUUACUACCCCCAAUAAAAGUUUACUGGGGGUAGUAAACUUUAGUUUUUCGAAUCUAAAUUGUUCUUCCUCUGUUUUAGUAUGUAUUAUGGCCUUGAAAAUACUGUUUUGCAAGUUUACUAUCCCCAGUAGUAAACUUUAGUUUUUCGAAUCUAAAUUGUUCUUCCUCUGUUUUAGUAUGUAUUAUGGCCUUGAAAAUACUGUUUUACAAGUUUACUACCCCCAAUAAAAGUUUACUAGGGGCAGUAAAUUUUAUUUUUUGCAUCUAAGUUGAUUUUUCUCCAUUUUAAUGUGUACUUAUGACCUUGGAGAUAUUGUUUUGCAAGUUUACUACCCCCAGUAAAAGUUUACUGGGGGUAGUAAACUUUAGUUUAUCGAAUCUAAAUUGUUAUUCCUCUAUUUUAGUAUGUAUUAUGGCCUUGAAAAUACUGUUUUGCAAGUUUACUAUCCCCAGUAGUAAACUUUAGUUUUUCAAAUCUAAAUUGUUCUUCCUCUGUUUUAGUAUGUAUUAUGGCCUUGAAAAUAUUGUUUUGCAAGUUUACUACCCCCAGUAAAAGUUUACUAGGGGUAGUAAAUUUUAUUUUUUGCAUCUAAGUUGAUUUUUCUCCGUUUUAAUGUGUACUUAUAGCCUUGAAGAUAUUAUUUUGCAAGAUUACUACCCCCAGUAAGAUGUUUACUAGGGGUGGUAAACUUUAUUUUUUUGCAUAUAUGUUGAUUUUUUCUCUCCUUUAAGGUAUAUAAUGGUCAUAGGAAAACUGUAUUGCAAGUUUACUACCCCCAGCAGAAGUUUACUAGGGGUAGUAAACUUUAUUUUUCUGUAUCUAAAUUGAUUUUUCACUGUUUUAAGGUGUAUAAUGGUCAUGGAGAAAUUUUAUUUUGAGUUUACUACCCCCAGUAAAAGUUUACUAGGCGUAGUAAACUUUAUUUUUCGUACUUGGGUUAAGAUCACGUAAAUUCCGAUGACAUUUAAAAAAAUCCAGUGAGAUUUUCGAAAAAUUCCGGCCACCGGAUGCCGGCAAUUUUCCGGCCGUCAGAAAAUUCCGGUGACCGGUGACCGGAUUCCGGAGGCCGGAGUUCGGAGUCCGGCGACCGAAAUGCGGCCGCCGGUGACUGGCGCCGGAGCCCAGUGUACUUCCGGCAAAGUCUUCCCUCCAUCUUUUUCACUUUUUCUCUUUAAGUAAAAACUAAGGGUAAAAAGUCUUUAAAAAUAUAAUUUUAUUAUAUUUUAAUAAAGAUUUGUGUAUUUAGGCUUAAAAUAAGUACCUUGUAUUCAAAUGAGCUAAUAAAAAAGAUUAUCAUUGAAAUGGGGUUUGACUUUUUCUAUUUUGUGCAAAUGGUCUUUUCCCUUAAAUCAAUCGUUUUUGAUUAAUUGAUUCAAUUAUUCAAUUUACCGUAAUUAAAUCAAUCAGUCUUAAUUGAUCUAUUUAAUUAUGACCGAUAAAGUAUUUCACCCAUUUGAUUAAAUGUCUGACUUCCUUUUCGAUAAUCGAUUUAAUUUGAUUGAUAUCUAAUUAUCGUUUGACAUUUAAUAUUUGAUUUUAGUCAGAAUUUAAGGUUUUGUUGUCGACCCACCACUCACACGUCGCCACGUGUCAUUUCUGACUACUUUUCAACUUUGUUAACUCACGAGCCACUUAUGUAAUUUGUCGGGCCCAUACGUCUUCCGAAUAAUUUAAUGAUUAUUAUUCUCAUUAAAUUUUAUGUGUCUACACCCGCAUCAUAAAUCCAAAUUCUUGUGUAGAUUUUAAUUUGUUACAAGCUCUGUUUAACUCAUAUGCUCCCCUAAUCUUAGUUGUUUAUUUUCCGGUACAGUGUCACAUGAAAUUCAUAACCUGAUGGAAAAAGGGAGUGAGUUGCUUUUCUCUAUGAAAAAGAUAGAUUUAUGGGGAUCAGACCUAUCUCGAAGCCAAACCACAUCCAAGAAGAAAAAAUUGGGUUUUGUUAAAAUCAGAAAGGUAGUAACAGAUUGUAAAGCCUAGUCUUCACGGCUUACAUGAACAUAUAUAAAAACGUGUUUAGUCUUGCUCAACCCUCACUCCCUGCCUUUUUAACUCUGCCAGCUUUGAAACCGGUCCAACUGGGUCAUCCUGCUUUUGCUCAUUACAUGUUAACCAGAAAAAGCUUUCUACCAAGAUCUUAAUCAUCAUCUUCAUCUCUAUGUAUUACAAUCUAGAGUAGUCUGAUUAUUCUAUAGUGUUUUGUACACUCCGUUGUGUAACCAAUAUGCAUGAUGCAAUUGGAAUUCCUGCUUGCUUUUCGGCCGGUGCUGCUCAUCAGAGGCCGGCUGAUCAUGAUCCGGCGGGUGUGAUCAGGUCAGGACAGAGCUUGGUUAUGUCAGUUUAUAGUACAAAGAUUGCUGGCCGGUGCCGGUUGAUCACAGUUACUUGGUGCAAGAACCUACUGCUACAUGGCCUCUCUGUUUCUGUUCAAGGCCAAGAAGGAGAGGAUGCCUAUAGAUGCAAGGUUGAGCUGAAGCCCUGGUACUUUUGGAGGAAGACUGGCGCCAAACAGUUCAUGGUGGAUGGUAUCACAGUUGAUGUAGUCUGGGACCUCAAAGCUGCCAAGUUCAAUGGUGAAACCGAGCCACAGUCGGACUAUUAUGUUGCCUUUGUGUGUGAAGAAGAGGUGGUUCUGCUUGUUGGUGAUCAGAAGAAAGAUGCCUAUAGAAGAACAGGUUGCAGACCAUCACUGAUUGAGCCUAUCUUGGUUUCAAGGAAGGAGCAUUUGUUUGGUAAGAGGAAGUACUCAACAGGGAUCCAGUUUCAUGAACAAGGAAAGGGAAAGUUUCAUGAGAUUUUAAUCGAGUGCAACAACAACAGCAACAAUUCUGUAACCGGGUCCGGGGCUGAUCCAGAGUUGGAGAUAAAGAUUGAUGGGAACCAAGCCAUUCAUGUCAAGCACCUUCAAUGGAAGUUCAGAGGCAAUGAGUCUGUUGAUGUGAACAAAACCAAAGUUGAAGUCUAUUAUGAUGUUCAUGAUUGGCUCUUUGGCUCUGGUCCAAGGUAUGGGAUGUUCAUAUUCAAGCCAAUACCAUCAGAAUCUGCAGAGUCUUCUUUAUCAACAACAGCCCAAGUUUUGACUCAUCAUCAAAAAUCAAGGGGUGGAUUAGAAGAUGAGGAUGAUGAUAGUGCAGGUGGGUCAUCUGGAUUUUCCUUACUGGUUUAUGCUUGGAAAGUGGAAUGAUGGUGUUCAUCAUCAAGAAGAUUAAUCAAGGAGUUAAGGAAAGGUGAUCAUGAUUAAGGCACCACCUUCAUGCACAGCUAGAACAGAGAGCUUCCCAUGGAAGAACAGAUGGGGCCAAAAGAAACUUGGGAGUUUGCUAACAGCUGGAAUUAAAUAAUGUGGACAUGAUUCGACAUUCCAGAAUGGAUCCACAUUUACAUGUCCAAUAAUCUUUCCAAUCCCAAUCCACAUUGUUCCUGUCAAGUGUGUGUGCAUUAUCUUCUGUAAUUCUUGGUUCUUGUUCUACUUUUAAUUUAGUACUAUUUCUGCAUAGGUGAAUGAAGCACAAGCAAGCAUAGCCCUGCAUUUUGUUUUGUGUAUGUGUGGGAUAUGCAAUUGUUUCAUUUUGAGAAAGUUUUUUAUUAUGUUGUAGCUCUAGUAGUUAAAAGUAUUUAGUUUCGCCUUUAAUCUCUUGACUUGAAAUUGAAAUGAAGUUUUUCUUCACCAAGUUCCAUUGUAAUUACAAACGUUUUUCAUGGAUACCAAUCCAGAAGGGAAUGAUACCAUAAUGAAGAGAAAUUAGAUAGCUGGGUAAGGUUGGCCAUCUGCUAAUCACAUGAGCAAGAACCCUAAAGUUGGGAAUAGAUCCUUGCAAUGAGAUGAUGGGCCUCUUGGUGGCCCUUAUGCUUUUACUUGAUAGUUCCAUCACUUCCAUGUUUGGCAAAGAACCAAGCCCAAUAAUACAUUCCCAGUGAAAGGCAGUUCAACCCUCACUCGACACUUUUGGGCAAGUUCCUUUUAGAAGAUGAAAAGGCAUUGGCAUCAUGGCAUGGAGAUGAUCAGAAUAGAAAGAGGAAGCACAGGCAAGUGUCAAGUGAGGAUAGUGAUGCAGUGGUCCAUUGUGUUUCUUCUAUGACAAGCCAUUUUCAUAGGGUUCGAAUAUCCAGUUGUUUGAUAGUCUUCCUCAGGUGCUUGUUUGUAAUUAUUUUUCCCACUAUGACCAGGACAUGGAACAAAGACCGAACUCAUUGAUUCAAACCAUGAUUUGGAUAAUAAUAGAACCUAAUUCAUCUCUAUUUACCAACUUCCAGAAGAUGGUGACUAAUACUUGUGAGAGGAAGGUCCUCACAUCACACAGUUCAUCUGUUCAUGUAUUUGUAUUGUCAAGUACAAGUGAAUUAUAAUGCUUCUCACAUCAUGUUUCCUUCAUAAUUAUACCUUGACAUUUUUUUUUUAUCGCAUUUUAGCUUUGAAGCAAACAGCCAUACUGAGGCUUAGUUCGGAAUUACCUUAAAAAAAAAGUAAAAUCACAACUUAAAAUAAUAAUCAGUGUUAGUUUAAAUCACAUUUCAAAACUCGUCUCUAUUUGGAAUUACCAUAAAAAAUUACAAUCUGUUUGUGGUUGAAUAUGGAAGACAGGGGAGCCAUUCUAGUGAGGACCCUUAAGUUGAGGGUUUGAUGAAGACUUUUCGGCUUAUCCCACCUUUCGAGCUUAUAUCCACAUCUUGACUGUUCAGUUUAUAGGUAUUUAUGAGUAGAUCAUUUUUCAAAUUUUCAGCUAUAUUAAAAAUUGUUAAAGCAUUCAUAAGUGUGAUUUAUCAAUUAUGAACUUGAACGGUUCAUAUUUGACAGAUUUAGCUUGUCCAUUAAUUUGAUCUAGUUUGUUAUCUUAACGAACACCAAUUUGGGUGAAAAUUUAUAGAAAUGAUCUACUCAUAUAAACCUAAAAACUGAACGGAUGAGAUGUCAAAAUGUGAUCGAAAAUUGAGUCUUUUAAACCAUAAACCGAAAAGUCUUUAACUUAAGGGUCCUCACUAGAAGGGCUCCCUGAAAAACAGUUCUUAUUCAUAGUUUGACAAUUCGGCUUUUCCUCUCACUUCGUUUAUUCUCAGCAAACUUCACACUUCUCCUUCUCCUUUGUGCUCCAUUCAGAAAUGUAGCAGUCUUCUUCGAUCCAUUACAGCCUUUACGGAUGGACCGGAAAACAUUCCACCCCAUUGUGGGAAGUGUAUCAGUCAUUGGGAAAGUGCAGCAUAUGAUCAUAAUCCCCAUUAGACCCACUUGGGUAGGUAGAAUAAAUUUCGCCAUUAGAGUAAUCCCUGUUUCCUUUUGAGUACUUGAUCCCUUGACGAACAUCAAUGGCGUCAGAACUGCACCCACAUUUCCAUCUCCUGUCAAGCCAGAUAUGACCCCAAAUGACCUGAAAAAUGGGGAGAAAAAUGUAACUAGUAGGCUUGAAAGUGAGAAAAAUGUAACUAAGUAGUCUUGAAAGUGAGGACUAAUGACCGGUUGAAGAGAGUUGCAAGUCACCAAUUACAUUCUAGGUGUUUCUACCUUUCAUCAAUUCUUAAAGCAGUGAACUUUAUCUUUAAAAUUAAGUUCCAACAUCUAUGUCAACAAGAAAAUGGUAGAAAUAUUCGAAUUAGUUUGUACAAAAGAGACUCACUCUAUUCUAAUCUUGGCAGAAAUUCUAGAUAAAACAUGUUCCUCCAUUCUUCGAUUUUAAAAAAUAAUUGCUGCAAAGGGUGCCAGAGACUAAAAACAACAAGGAUUUUUACAAGAAAAAGAAAAUUCAGCUAUACAUAUAUAAAUAUCUCCAUAUAUUCAGAAAUAGGUAGACCCUAUUCACUAGUCAGCCUGAACUCUUCUGGCAUAUAUUAUAUGCAGCCUGGGAGAUUGAUGAUUUUCCAUGUGACAUUGUACUCAACAGAUUGACCAUAUAACAUGAGGCUAAUAUCUGAAACAUCAUUACCCCGUGUCACAAAACUAUGGAGACCUCUGUAAUCAGUAAUGCCAAAGGAGCUAGUUUUUCGCCUAAACUUAACUCUGAACUCAAAUAAUUUUGACAGACAAUAUCAGCAUUUGAGUUAAUUAAUUAUUCCAACUAUAUUCAUUGAGCCAGCUAGUAGAUGAGCUAAAAUAUCAUGACACAACAAUGAUAUAUAUAUAUAUAUAUAUACAGGAAGGAUAUGAAGCGGACGUCCGCACUCGGCUUAAAGUGCGGACGUCCGUCUGUUCUCCACCCUCCGGCGCCGGCGACGGCGCGCCUCCACCCCAGAAGACUCUAGCAGCGUCCCCGACCACUUUCCCUCCCCGGCGAGUCCAUUCUUUCCGGUUUCCGGCGAGAUCACCCAAAACUUCAAACAAAGUCGAUCUUGCCGGAAACUGGAAAAAACGGACUCGCUAGGGAGGGGAAGUGGUCGGGGACGCUGCUGGAGUCUUCUGGGAUGGAGGCGCGCCGUCGCCUCUACAUCCUCUCUGUGUAUAUAUAUAUAUAUAUAUACACGUUACUAGUUAAUACAUAACGUGUAAAUAUGUAUGCCAGCCUGCAGUUCUCAUCAUGAAUGUGGAUUAUAUAUGCUGCAGGGACCCUGAACUCGUUAAGAAGAUUGGGGCUGCAACUGCCCUUGAAGUUAGAGCCACAGGCAUUCCAUACGUCUUUGCACCUUGCAUAGCGGUAAUAAUUCCCCGUUAAUCAACAUUAAUUCAUAGUACAUGCGCAGAAUGAGAUGGAAUAUAUAGUUAAAAUCCAUGUCCAUGCUAAUUCGAUCCAUCUGUUGGUGCGUGCGUGCAGGUUUGUAGAGAUCCAAGAUGGGGUCGUUGUUACGAAAGCUACAGCGAAGAUCAUAAGAUUGUUCAAGCAAUGACUCAGAUCAUACCUGGAUUACAAGGAGACAUGCCACCUAACUCUAGAAAGGGUGUUCCCUUUGUAGCACCUGGAAAGUAAGAAUCAAAUUUGUUUUACGUGUUUGCUCCAACGUCUCACCUAACAUUCUUUAGCAAUUCACAAGUUCACUUCAUAGUAAAUAGUAGCAUUUCAUGCUUUCUGCUAUGUUAAGUUCAAUCUUUGAUCCAAUGAGGUAGAUGUUUCUGUUUUGUUUUUAGUUAUUUUUGUAACCCUCUAUGAUCGGCCUUAUCCAUUUCUUGUUUUCCCCCCUCUGAUGUGAGAGAGAUGAGGUUUGCAGACAAUUUCUUCUCUUUAAUUAAUCAGUGUUUGAAACCAACCUCAACUCAGUCCACUUGAGGUAUUGAAAAUCAGAAAGGUCGUAUAUUGCUUGCUACACCUAUGGUCAGAGCUUGUUAUGGAUUUACAUUUGCCUUAUUUUGACAAUAUAAAGAAGCAAACUUAGCUAUAUCUAGAUGAUUGAUACAUUGGCGAUAAUGUGAAAGUUACACUUUGGAAUUAUGUAUCUGUUUGAGGACUUGUGCUGUGUUCCACUAGUUGUGUUUGAGAAUGAAUCCAAUUCAAGCUUCUUUGCAGAUACUUUUGCACGCUGAUUGUGACUAAGAAACAACAGCAUAUUUAUAUAUAUAUCCUUGGUUUGAUAAUUCAAUUAGACAGAAAACAUUUACAGUCUGAAAUAUUGACCUCUUUAUUAUUCAUGUGUUUGUAGCAAAAAGGUUGCAGCUUGUGCAAAGCAUUAUGUGGGCGAUGGUGGGACAACCAAAGGCAUCAAUGAGAAUAACACUGUGAUAGACAGGCAUGGAUUUCUCAGCAUUCACAUGCCGGCCUACUAUAACUCAAUUAUUGAAGGUGUUGCAACCAUUAUGGUAUCUUACUCCAGCUGGAAUGGAGUCAAGAUGCAUGCCAACCGUGAUAUGGUCACCGGAUUUCUCAAGAAUACUCUCCGUUUCAGGGUAAUUCUAAUCGAUUUGUAAUUCCAGCUCCGGCCCUUGCAUCAAUUAAUUUCACAUUGGUAACUUUAACACAUUGCUUUGUUUUCCAGGGUUUUGUCAUCUCAGAUUGGGAGGGUAUUGACAGAAUCACCUCACCACCUCAUGCCAACUACUCAUACUCGAUUACAGCAGGGAUCAAUGCUGGAAUUGACAUGGUAAUUAUUGUCCAUCUCCGUCAGCAACUUAAUUGGUUAAACUUCCUUCUAUCUGCACUUUAUAAAGAAAUUAGCUAGCUUGAUUAUUGUUGUUAUGCGGAUCUUUUCUAACAUGUUCGUCUGUUUUGACUGUUUGUUACCUACAGAUCAUGGUUCCAAACAACUAUACAGAAUUCAUUGAUGGUCUAACUUUCCAAGUAAAAAAUAAAAUUAUUCCCAUGAGCAGAAUUGAUGAUGCAGUGAGGAGAAUUUUGAGGGUUAAGUUUACAAUGGGGCUAUUUGAGAAUCGGUUGGCUGAUCUCAGCCUUGUCAACCAGCUUGGCAGUCAGGUAAAAGUAGUUGACAUGCACUACCACUCUACAAAAAAAAAUGUAGAGCAUAAUAUUCUUAAUUAAACUAACUAAAUUGCAUUUCGGAUAAUAAAUUUGACAGGAACACAGAGACUUGGCUCGGGAAGCUGUUAGGCGAUCUUUAGUGCUUCUAACGAAUGGUGAAUCUGCAGACGAGCCAUUGCUACCCCUUCCAAAGAAGACAUCAAAAAUACUUGUAGCUGGAAGUCAUGCAGACAAUCUUGGUUAUCAGUGUGGUGGUUGGACCAUUGAGUGGCAGGGAAUGAGUGGCAACAAUCUCACACAUGGUAACUAAUUAAGUUAAUCGCAGCCCCUUAAAAUGUUAAAAUAUGUCCGCAGAGAUCUUUAUUCUUUUUAACAUGGCUGCAGGUACCACAAUCCUAACUGGUAUAAAGAACACAGUUGAUCCAGAAACGAAAGUAGUGUACAAAGAGAAUCCUGAUGCCGAGUAUGUUAAGUCAAAUGGUUUCUCCUAUGCCAUUGUUGUCGUAGGAGAACCGCCAUAUGCGGAGACAUUUGGUGACAGUUUAAAUUUGACUCUCCCUGAUGCUGGCCUGAAAACCAUUACAAAUGUUUGCGGUGCUGUCAAGUGUGUUGUCGUUGUCGUCUCCGGUCGUCCUGUUGUGAUGCAACCAUAUGUUUCCCUGCUAGAUGCUCUGGUUGCGGCAUGGCUUCCGGGAAGUGAAGGCCAAGGAGUUGCUGAUGUUUUGUUUGGUGACUAUGGUUUCACCGGCAAGCUUUCUCGCACUUGGUUUAAAACCGUUGAUCAGCUACCUAUGAAUGUUGGAGAUCCACAUUAUGACCCUCUCUUCCCCUUUGGAUUUGGCCUCACAACAGCUCCCACAAAAGCCAACUAGGAAUCAUUUUGCUACUCUUCAAGGAUUUUAUGGAUAUGUAUGAGCUAAUGUAAUCGAUUUACAACCCCUUUUUACAGGUACUAAUAAUAAUACUUUUGAAUCUUGGAGGGUAUCCUCACUUAAGAGAUAUCAUUGGACCACCAUCGCUGGUCAUAAUUUUCUGCGCUAUAUAUAAGUUUAUGGUCCAACAAGCAAAUAUGUCCUGGUUUCACAGUUGUUAAUUUUCUGACUCAAAUAUUACAACAUAGUCUAAGUCGAAGUCUAUCCAAAUUUGUUAUUUUGAGUUGCCUACUUAGUGCAUCUCAAACUUAAUUUUUAGAAUAAUUAAAAAGCUAAGUCGACCUUAUUUUUAUCAAAACACCAUUGAACAUGAUACAUAAAAAAACCCUACAGUAAUCACACGUCAAAACAAAAAUAAACAAGGAACAAAGGAUGUAAGCCAUUUUUGUUAAUCACAACUUGAGAAUAGGAACAACAACAUAAACAAGAUCCACCCGCGAGGGCUACAUAAAAAUCGAAUCUUGCAAAACUACCCGGUAGAAACUAAACAAUCUUUAUGUUGAAGACCAUGUGAUGAAGCACUAUGAUGAAUAUAGCCUUGGUAGCAAAAGAACUGAGUAACCAGCAACCAAGACACAAGUGGAAAGGGACAAGUCCUCAACUCAUCAUUAUUAACCACUUUUGAGACCACCCUACGCAGAGGGGGCUAUCCUAGAGCAUGGACCACCCUAGUUAUAAGCCAAAGCCCAAAAACUAAGAAAAAAUGCUCUAGACCCGCAAGCAGCCUAGUCUAAACUCAUAAAUAAGAAAAGGAGAAAUUACUGGUCACUCCAUUAACUUUCAUGCACUCGACAGUUUACUCCAUUAACUUUCAAUUUCAAUCGAUUACUCCAUUAACUAUCCAAUGUCACAUAAUUAGGUCCAUCCGUUAAGUGGCCGUCCAAAUCAAUGAUUAAGUUGCUGACUGGACAUAUUUUUCAACUAGAAAAUUCCANNNNNNNNNNNNNNNNNNNNNNNNNNNNNNUACUACUACUACUACUACUACUACUACCUACCUCCUCUCUCUCUCUCUCUCUCUCUCUCUCUCUCUCUCUCUCUCUCUCUCUCUCUUUCUCUCUCUCUCUCUCUCACACACAUUUAAAACCCAUCAGCCAGCCAUGGCUUCCCACUUUUCUCUCUCCGCUGUUUCUCUCAUCACCCUCCUCUUCCUUGCCGGACACCGCCUCAUCCAUCACCAUCAGCGUCACCUAUUCCGCCUCCACAGUCUCCACCUGCCCCACGCCUCUGCUACCGGAGCGCGUGGCCUCGACCAUCACUUCUCUCAGCCUCGCCGCCCUCCGCCUUGACGUCUCUGACCCCAACCUCAUCUGCGCCUUCCUCUACUCUAACACCACCCUCCUCCUCACCAUCCCCAACGCGCUGGUGUCCCACCUCUGGCCGCCAACCGCACCAACGCCCUCUAGUGGCUCACCGUUCAACACUUCCAAUUCCCAAAUCUGAAAAUUUUAGGGAUUGAAACCCCCAAUUCCCAAAUCUGUUUCCAAUCAAACAAAUGGCUUCAAUUUCAUAUAGAGGAAGGGGAGGCGAGCGAGAAGAGGUUGUUGGCUGGGGAUUCGAAGUGGUUGAGAUUUCAAGUCUAGCACGGGUUUGAAGCGAAAAACGGAAAGACUUCAUGGAUGGUGUUGUUUAGGGUUUGGUUGGUGGCGAAGGGAGAAGAUUGUUGUGAGGGUUUGAGUUUUGGGCUUCGGGAGAGAGAUGCGAGGUAGGUGGGUUUGAGUUUUUAGCGUCGGGAGAGAGAUGUCGAGGAGCUGCGGGGUGAGCUACUGGUGGUGUGGUUGGUUGCUGGUGGUUUGGUUGCGGUGUGUUUGAUUACGGUGUUGAUGUGGUUGGUUGCUGGUGGUGUGGUUGGUUGGUUGCUGGUAUUGUUGUUGCGGUGUUGUUGAAGGUCCAACUGGUGGUGUGGUUGGUUGGUUGGUUGCUGGUAUUGUUGUUGCGGUGUUGUUGAAGGUCCAACUGGUGAUGUGGUGGCGUUGUGGUUGCGGAGGAGGUGGAGGAGGAGACAGAAGAGAUUGAAGAGAUUAAGGAGGGAGGGAGGGAGGGUGUUAAAUGGAAUUUCCAGUUGAAAAAUAUGUCCAGUCAGUAACUUAACCACUGAUUUGGACGACCACUUAACGGAUGGACCUAAUUGUGUGACAUUGGAUAGUUAAUGGAGUAAUCGAUUGAAAUUGAAAGUUAAUGGAGUAAACUGUCAAGCGCAUAAAAGUUAAUGGAGUGACCAGUAAUUAAUUCAUAAGAAAAACAUAAAUAGAGCAAACCCAAAGACAACUCCCACAAAGUGAGCCCAACCCCAUCUCUUACCCAUAUUGAGCCUACUAGCAGCUUUCAAGCCCAAAGACCCACACCAACAUAUCACCAUCCCUUCUGACCCCAAAGGAAAAACUGUGACACCCCAGCCACCAACGCCGCCUUCCCGCGGCCGUUGAGCAACCACAACGCCGCAAUUACAAUUCUGAUAAUGAUCGCCUAAAGCAACCCAACACCUGUGAAAACAAAGAACCCCUGCAAUUGGAUCUGGAAGCAUCGACCCCACAAGCCAUUGAAAAAGCCAGCAUUGAUUUGCACCAUCCGGCCAAUCGGAUUUUCCGGCCAACACAACAAACACCUCGUUGACCCAACAAAAGCUAGAUCCUCUGUCGAUCCCAGCUCGCUUCCACGACUGAAGAAAUAUCUAAACACAAAGAUUGCGGAAGCUUUUCUUCUAUAUUUCUUGAUAAAACUUUACGAGGUUUAAUAACAAGUAUAUAUAGAUACAAUGAGAAUCGUAUAAGGAAAGCUAAAGCAAACUCAACCACAGCCACAACUGUGGCACCGAAACCGAGGUCACCAACUUGGUCUCUAAUUUGUAGCAACAGAGAGACAAGCUACAACAGCCAACUUGUUGUUUUAGAAAAAGGGGACCAGGGAGACCACCAGUACUUGGUAGCACACCAGCAGUACAUGAUAGCACAGCUGUAGCUUCUAAAGUCAAUUUGAACUAGAUUAGUUCAAUUAGAACUUAUCUCUAACUCUCAAUACUCCCCCUCAAGCUGGAUCAAGAGGAUUCAUUGAGCCAAGCUUGCCCAAAAUACGAUGAAAAUGGAAUGUUGAAAGAGACUUGGUGAAGAUAUCAGCGAGCUGAUCAUAGCUGCGAGUGUAAUGAGUGACAAUGAGCUUGGACUGAACUUGAGCUCGAAUAUAGUGACAAUCAAUUUCGAUGUGCUUGGUCCUUUCAUGAAAAACAGGAUUGGAAGCAAUGUGCAUGGCAGCUUGAUUAUCACAAUAGAGAGAUUGGUUGACUACAAGGGGAUCCCAAAUCAGAGAGCAAACCCUUCAGCCAAAUAAGCUCACAAGCAGUAGCAGGCAUUGCCCUAUAUUUAGUUUCUGCGCUAGAACGAGCCACAACCGUUUGCUUCUUACUCUUCCAUGUAACUACAUUUCCCCCAACAAAGGUGCAAAAACCAGUAGUGGACUUUCGAUCAAGUGAGUUACCAGCCCAAUUCGCAUCAGUAUACCCCAUGAUGUUAGCAUUGCCAUUGUUUUUCAACAAAAUUUCUCUACCAGCAGAGCCUUUAAGAUAGCGAAGAAUCCUCUUAACAAUGUGAAGAUGAGCUUGAGUAGGAGCUUGCAUAAAUUGACUAACAAUACUCACAGGAUAGGUAAUGUCUGGACGAGUGAUUGUAAGGUAGAAUAUUAACUUACCAACCAGCCUUUGAUAAGAUGUCACAUCAGAGAGAAAAGCACUUGAAGUUUCAAACUGAAGCUUGCUAUCCAAAGGAGUGCUAGCUGGUUUGCUAUCCCAAAACUCUGACUCUUUCAACAGAUCAAGAACAUACUUUCUUUGAUUUAGAAACAACUCUUUGUGAGAAGUAGCCAUUUCUAUGCCAAGGAAGUACUUAAGAUGCCCCAAAUCCUUCACUACCAGGACAAGCACUUUAGCCGACGAAAAUUUUUCGUCGGCCUGUCAGCUUAAUUCGUCGGCUAAGAUCUUAGCCGACGACCUUUCGUCGGCUAAGAUUUCGUCGGGAAAAGCUCGUCUGUGGUGACUUUAGCCGACGACACACGUAUAAGUCGUCGGCUAUAGUCCAGACUUUAGCCGACGACAUAAUUUCGUCGGCUAUAGUCCAGACUUNNNNNNNNNNNNNNNNNNNNNNNNNNNNNNNNNNNNNNNNNNNNNNNNNNNNNNNNNNNNNNNNNNNNNNNNNNNNNNNNNNNNNNNNNNNNNNNNNNNNAUCCAUGCUUGCAUUGCUCGUUUCGAAUGGAUCCGGAUUCUUUGUUUGGAUUUAUGUUGUUUGAAUUUGCUUGGAUAUCUUGCAACUAUUAGAUAGAGUAAGGAUGACAUGACGGUUUUAGAUUGUACUUAUUCUAAUGGUUAGAAGUCAUCUAAGCAAAUCCAAACAACAAAAAUUUAAUGGGGUGUAUUGUACUUGGACUUUUAUUUACUUUUUUUAAGUGAUGGAUUUAGAAAGAGUUCAUGGAUUAGAUUAUACUUAAUCUAAUGGUUAGAAGUUAUCUAAGCAAAUUCAAGCAACAUAAAUAUAAAGGAGAUGUAUUGUACUUAGACUUUUAUUAACUUUUUUUAAUUGAUGGAUUUAGAAAGAGUUCAUGGAUUUGAAUCAUUUGAUUGAUUUCUACAGACUCUUUGAUAGAUUUGUAAAAUUUUCAAAAACUUUUAUGAACUCUCCAUAUUAGAUUCAUAUAAACUUUUUAUGAUUUAUAUAAACUUGUUCUUGGAAUUUUGUGGAUUUUAGCAACUUCUGAUGCUAAAUAACUUAUAGCAUAUAUGCAGAUGACCCUCACCAAAUAUAAUAUAAAGGGUGCUGUUAAAUGUACCCAGCAAACUUCUAUGUAGACUCAACAAAACAAUUUUAUAAACAAAGAUAAUUUUAUCCUCGUGUAAAAUGACAUUAACAGUCAUGAUAAUUAAAACAAUAACAAAACAAACCAUGACACUCUUGAACCCAACAUUUUCUAAUGUAUCCAGCAGUAAAACUUGAAAACGUUGUUGAUCCGAGCAAACCUUUAACCAGAACCCAUAAUCAAAAUUAAGUAUACACACAAUGUGUGUUUAUAUAUAACACAUCAUCAAUUAUGUUGCUAUCUAAAUUCCCAGUUCUCUGCCUUUCGGGUUUUUUGUUUUUUUUCCAGAACAUCUAGUUUGAGCUCUGGACUUGGUAACAGCUUCUUCAACUCGUUUUUUGAAAGACCAAGUUCAGUACACUUGAGCAGUCCCUCACGCGCCUUCAUCUUGAGAAAGUUCAUAUAUACAAGGAAUUCGACUCAGCGAGCUUUGGGUUUUAUCAGAUGUGGGUUUAAUUGUUAAUCAUCUUACGAGAUCAAUUCCAAUUGUAAUACAUACCUAAGUACUCUUAACCAUACCUAAUUACCUAUGAUACUGAUCACAGUCCGAGCAACAUCUGCAAAAACUUCGAUGUUGUGAUGACGGACCACUAAAGAAGAAGACAAAUUAAGAUGGAAGAAGGAGCAACAGAUGGAGACAAGGCUGAAGAAAAAUGCACGAGGGAAACAAGAGACAGGUUUGGUUGGGUGUUAAAAGAGAAAAAGGAAGGAAAUCGAUUAGUUUUGCUGGGUUUAACUUUUAACAAAGGGAGGGCAUUUUUGGAAAGUCGCUAGGUGCACUUAGAGAUUUUAUUUUGUUGGCUGUAAAUAGCUUGCAGGGUUUACUUAGAAAUUUGCUAGUUACAUCUAGCAUCACCCUAUGAUAAACCCACAACAUUGCACGCAGUUUAUCAUUAUGAGUUGAUAAAGAUUCAAAACUAAAAUCAUAAACAAAUGCGAAAAGUAAACAAGACAUCAACUAAAGUUCCACCUGAACUGCACAAAUUCAUUCAUAAUGCUAUAGUUUGUAGUGUUUUCAAUGUGGAACAUACAUGUGCAGCACAUAAAAUGACUUAUUGUGAGGCUUUCAGAAUGCUGAGCACACUGCAAAGAAACACAAAGGAAAAGGGGACAUUGUGCAAAAACCAAAGUUUUCAUAUGAAUAGAAGUCGGAAAAAUAAUUACAUUGAGAGUAGCCAAUCUGCAUUACAAUUGACAAAAAGAUUCAGAAUAUUUUGAAUGCCCAGAAAAUGAUUAACAAAUAGUAAAGGAGAAUGUAUGUGCAUAAAAACGCAAUUGGUGAAACUUUACAUAACAACACACAGUGAAGGAGCCUAAAGCAAGUGAGAGGCUCCAAUUUUUGUAUACAAGACAACCCACUUCUAACUUGGGGAAUGGAUGAUAUACACAUAUAACUAUGUCAGAAGGACUAAACCAACUUGUCCAGAGACUAAACAAUCUCCCCAUGCUUGAAUGCACUGCUGGUAUAAUCCACAAGUAGAAUGAUGUAGGACGGAUGGCCGAAGAAAUCGAGGAACAAAUUGAUCGUUGCAGGUCCAAACCCGGUUUGCUGCAGAUUUGGCGUUCGGUGUCCGAAUGACUAUUAAUAUACCUUUCUGGAAGCGGAACGGCCGAACGAACAAGACACGUGGCUUUGCCACGACAUAUGGGCUUUUUCGGCCAUCCGAGUUUGUUUCGGACCUCAAAUCAGCGUUUUAUUAGUUUUUAGGAUUUUAUGUUUCCUAGUUCUUUUCGGAUUGUGUUUUGAUUCAAUCCUUGGGCUUUUAGGUUUGGUUGUUAGUCGCCCUAGGGUUUUGUUUUCCAUAUAUAAGCACCUUUUUGGGUAGCUGAGAGGCAGUUUAUCAAUUAUAAUUCAGAAUUUAAGAGUUUUACUCUUAGUCCUUGGCGCGCUCCAGGUUUUGGUCCUAUAGAGUUUUUCGCUUGAAGACUCUCCACAUAUUAGGGUUUAACGCUGGUUAGCCCCCAUACUCCUGCUGCGUCAUAGAAUCAUACCAUUUAGAACUCCCUUGUAGAAGCUAUCAACCUGUAAACCAAUAAGACCUACAUCUGUCACUAUACUCUCGUUGAAGUCACUGCAUUUCAACCACUUCCCAGGCUUACAAGCCUCACUGCAUUCAAUCGCUCUUGACUUCAACUACGGGCUGCUGCAAGCAUGAAAAAGAUGCAUCGAUUAAUGAAUCAGUUCCAAGAGAUUCCCGAGCUUCACAACCAAGGCUAAUCAAGUUGGACUCAUCCUCAAAGAGGUCUAAUUUCUCAAAGUCGAUGAGUUUCAUAAAAUCCAAUAGUCAUCACUCAUCCAUAGAGCUAGUAUGACUACCAUCAUGCCAAUUCUUUUCCCAAUGGGAUUUAUCAAGCAAAACAGGCCUGCACACAGCCAAUGGGAUUUGACUCCUAUGCAAUGACAAUUCUUUCGCUCAUACAUGAUCAGACUGGCAUAGUAACAAUUUUUCAGCAGAAAACAUAGUAUUAAUUAUACAUGUAUAUAGAUUAUGAAUAGAUAUAUAGAAUCAUUGAUCAAAUUGUAACCGGAAAGAAAGUCCUAACAAAUAGGUUCAAGCACAAAAGAAACGAUGCGAUUAUUUUUGGGGUGUAUUGUUCACAAUCACUUCUAGUAACAAAGUAACAACAAUCAUUUGCAGGCUUCUAGGGCUUGAUAGCAUAAUUUCAAACUCUUUCUGAAAUCGCCUUUUAGGGUUUAUGGUAGGGUUCAUAGUUGAACAGAAUAUGAAUAUAUACGAUACCAAUAAGUUCAAGAACAAACAUGUAAUAGGAAUCAUCACAAUAUCAUGAUGCAAAUCGAAUAAUUUCAAGAACAAAAGAGGAAAAACCCUAACGUCGAGGUUUUCGAUCACGUACCUACGUCGAGCUGUGCUUCGCAAAAAGAAUUCUGUAGAAAUCUUUGGCGUGGAGGUUGGAUUUCUUUGGAGCCUUUCUAUUUAUACUGAAGGCUCUAUAAUCCACAAGAAUCAAAUUCCAUACAAUUCAUAGAUUUUUUAAAUACCCUUGCACUUGUAUGGACUUAUGAAAAGUUUUCAUUGAAUACCUUGAGAUUUUUGUGGACUAGAAAUCUUAACUUUAAAAUCCAGAUUGAAUACCCCAAUUUUUCUAAAAACUCUUUAAAAGUUAUAAUAAAUCAUAAAUAAAUACCCACAAACUUUCAAAGUCUAUAAAAAUCUUCAAAACACCUUAGAAAUCAAAAUACAAUACACCCCCCUAAAUAAAGAAACCAAAUUCAUUUCAGAUAACAGAUUGAUGAACAAGCUACAUAAGACGGUAUGUAGGCUUGGCAAGCAAGUGUUUGGCCUUUGACAAUGACAAACCAAACUUCUCUGUCAUGUUCAAGUCUUGAGGUAGCAUGCCAUUUGGGAGCUCCCAGUUAAAGCAGUGCACCAGCUGUGCCAGUACUAGCCUUACUGUGGUUAGCCCUAAUUGCAUACCCGGACACCCUCUUCGGCCAGUCCCAAAUGGGAUGAGCUGAUAGUCAUGUCCCCGGAGGUCUAUGUUGCUGUUUGUAAACCUUUCCGGAUAGAAUUCCUCAACAUUUUCCGACCAAACAUUGGGAUCCCUUGCAAUGCUCCAGAAAUUCACUAUGAGUCGUGAUUUCUUCGGUAUGUCGUAUCCAUCGAUUGUAAUGUCCUUGAUGGAUUCAUGUGGGACGAGCAAGGGUGCAACUGGGUGUAGUCUGAAGCUCUCCUUGACCACCAGAUUCAAGUAAUCCAGUUUUGGCAAAUCAGACUCUUCUACCAUUCGGUCCAUACCAACCACAGUUUGGAGCUCUUCUUGGAGUUGCUUCAUGAUCCUUGGAUGCCUCAUGAGCUCUGCAAGGCUCCAAAUAAUCGUUGUAGCAGAAGUAUCGAAAGCUGCUGUGAUCAUGUCAAGUAAGAUGGCCUUCACAUUUUCACGAUCAAGAAAAUGAACUUGCUCAUCAUUCGGAUUCAACAGUUGGUUCGUAAACGAAAGCAACACGUCUACAAAGUCCUCAUGCUGGCCUUGUUUUCCACCCUUAGUUUCCGCAGCUUGUUCAUGAUCGUUAAUUAUCUUGUCCAAGAGUUGAUCGGCCGUCUUGCUCACUUUCUUCAAUCGCUUAGUCAAUCCCUGAUAAUUUUUCAAAUUAUGAAAGCAAAAUUAACAUAGAAAAUUAUAUUCAAGGCUACCUUAUACACUAGUCUAUGAUUAAUUGAAUACUUUAUACGAUACUCCAAGAUUUGAUCACCAUGAAAAAGACUACCUUGCUCACUUCAGCAGGAGGCAACAAAUUGAAUCAAAACUGGACCCGUCAACAAUAUAAUAAACUAAUAUGCAGGAGAUAUGGCUCACUAAAUAUAUAUUACCUAGACUAUUAAUAAAAAUAAAAAUCAAUUCUUACUAAAAAAUAUAAAAAAAUCAAUAAAAAUAUAAUAUGCCUAGCUACCCCGAGAAAAGGAAAUCCACUUGAAUUGACAAUUUGGUUUUUGUAUAAGAUGAUUGUUUUACCUAGCAGCUAGCAAAAUACGUCUCUGCACUAGUCACUACUGGCCAUCUCACAUUACUUUCACGAACUUAGUUUCCUAUGUUUGACUUCUAGAUUGUUGAUCCUAAUGUAGUUUGUAGAGACAAAGAAGAUUGAAGAUGUAGUGGGGAUGGUAUGAAAUGUAGUUCGUAGAGACAAAGAAGCUUGAAGAUCUAGUGGGGAUGGUAUGAAAUUUGUGAUAAUUUAGUGUUUGAUACAUGUAAAGGUAGACCAACUCCAAUCCGACUCAUAUAUCAAAUUAUCAAUGCAAUACAAGAAACUAAAGUGUGCGAAUAAUAUCAUCCGAUCCUAAAAUAAAGUGCAUUUGGCCGGAGCUACUAUAUUGUAGGUUGCAUCGGUUCAUAAAUGAAUGAUCGAAGAGAAAUGCCUAUGGGAAAGAGUAGGGAUUAGAAGCUAGCAAACCUGAAUAUCAAAUGCACUGAGGGAAGGAAUGAAAUCAGAAAUAUUGAAAGCCCCGACCAAGAAGAACAUUUCCUCAACGAAGGCUUUCAGAUCAAACUUAUCGUCCCUUUUACACCCCAACACCAUCCUAUACGUUAUGUCCUCAUUCAUCUCACCAAUCUUCUCACUAACAUCCACAACCUCACCUUCCUCUGCUGCUCUCUUCAGCUUUCCCACCAGCCCUCCCAGCUCCUCCUUCCGCAGCGGCGCGAAAGCCUCCAGUUUUGCAGGACAGAAGAGCUGAAGCGUGCAGAUCUUCCUCACAUGGCGCCAAUAGGGACCGUAUUCGGAAAAGGCCAGGCCCUUUGUGCCGUAGGCCAAGUACUCGGAGGCUUGGAUUUUUGGCCGGCUGGCGAAGUUAGUGUCAUGAGUUUUGAGGAAUAGCUCGGCGGCUUUUGGGGAGGAGAUAACAAUGGUAGGAACAUUGCCUAGACGAAGGGACAUGAUGUCUCCGUAUUGUUUGGCCAAGUUUUGGAGAGUUCGAUGGGGAAGGUUGCCUAGCAUGUGGAGGUUUCCGAUUAUGGGAAGUGGCCGAGGGCCGGGUGGUAGUUUUUGGUGUUUUGAUUUUGAGAAGGCAGAGAUGAGUGACCAAAGGCAUGCGAGGAGAACCAGGAGGAUGGCUAUCAUUGUUGGAGGAGUCAUUGUUUCUGGCUUUCUGAUCUGUGUGGAGUUGAGAGUUGAGAGGAAAUAAUGGGGAAGUAUGGGCGAUGACAAGCUCAGCUCAUCUGAUACCAUAAAAGCUAGAGAGAAAGUUUAGAGAAGAAGAUAAGGCUGCAAAUGAAUGAGAGAGAUUACGAGAAGCAUCUGAGGUUACAAGCUUAUAUACAGCUGAAAGAUAAGCACAUGAUAAACACGUGUAGAGCCAACACUGCUGAGAAUAAGUUAAUUAACUAAACAGACUAAUUGUAAUUAGCUUAAGUAAGCACAAACUAGUAACUAAUUAAAGCUCAUAGUCUAACACUGCCGUGAUAUACAUUGUUAACUUAAUCUUUUUCAUCUGAUGACGCAGCCGUAAGAAAAUUUUGGUUUCAAUAGAGGACGACAUUCAACGUUUUUUUGGUCUGCACAGAAAAUAUGUGUGGAGACUGGAGAGUAGGAUCUUAAACACGACUUUUACAAAUCAAGAAUUGUAGUUGUUAGUAUGGACCCUAUUUGGGUAUGUUCCAGAAUCAAGAUAGCAUUAAAGCGAUAAAGGUAAAUGGUCGAUCAUGAGAGCACAGCACAGCUAACAAGUCCUAAUGCUAAUACAUACUAUCGUCAACAGCAUAUGAAGGUGAAUGGUCCAACCUGCCAUCUGCACAAGGAGAAUGGCUUGAUUACGGCAUUAGACUAGUUUUGAAUACAAUCAACAUAUAUGUUACUUCUCAAGGAAAAUUCUAGCCUACAUAUCUGCAUACUAACAUAUCUUGGCCCCCAAUCUACUUCGUUGAUCCCGGCGGCCGAACCGCGCGCUGUCAUUGUCGGCUGUCCAUCAGUCUCCACCCCGACGUCCACCAGCGUUUUAGCAACUCUGACCUAGGUCCAGGCCCUGACUUCCCUCCACAAUGCAAUGGACUGAGUGGAGAACCCCGCCGCGCUGCUCCGCCAAAUCGUGCAUGCAGAUUGUAUUUUGAAGACUAUGGAAUUGAGUACCAUCUUAUAUUUUCUUAGAAGAUACAGAGUUGUACUCUUUAAUUGUUUGGAAGAACACUGAACACUAAAGAAAACAAGCUUAAAAUGAAUCAGCUAGUGGUAUUUGCAUAAUUACAGUUCCGGCCAAAGAAACUUGCUCUUGAAAUCGUGUAUAUGUAACGAACAUAUUGUUACAUAAUAGAAACAACAAUACUGAUGGAAUCGUAUCUUAAUUGCAUUUCGUAUAAUUUUUAAGCUGCAGAAUAAUAGGUGUGGGUGAAUGUUGAGAGCGUAUUCAGCGCACCCGGGUGCGCUGUAUAAUUUUCGGUGAAUAUUUAUUGAAACCCAACAAACUACAUAAGAUUAUUACAUUGAAAAUAUGACCUACAUCAGACGAUUAAGGUUUUUUUUUUUUUAUAAAACAUAAGACGAUAAGUUGGCUUGGCAAGCAAGGGUUUGCCUUUUGAGUUUUGACAUUGAUAAACCAAAAACCUCGCACUCGGACAUGUCCAGUUCUUGAGGUAGCAUGUCAUAUAGGAGCUCCCAGUUAAAGCAACGCACCAGCUGUGCCAGAACCGCCCAGAAGUACCAGCCUAACUGUGGCUAGCCCUAACUGCAUACCUGGACACCCUCUUAGGCCAGACCCGGCCCAAAUGGUAUGAGCUCAAAGUCAUGUCCCAAGAGGUCUACCUUUCUGUUCAUGAACCUUUCAGGAUAAAAUUGCUCCACAUUUUCCGACCAAACGUUGGGAUCUAUUCCAAUGCUCCAGACGUUUACUAUGAUCCUCGACUUCUUGGGUAUGUCAUAUCCAUCGAUUGUAAUGUCGUCGAUGGAUUCAUGCAUGUGGUCCUAGUAAUGGACCAACUGGGUGUAGCCUCAUGCUCUCCUUGAUCACCAUAUUCAAGUAACCCAGCUUCGGCAAGUCAUUCUCUUCCACCAUUCGGUCCAUAUAUACCAACCACAGUUUGGAGCUCUUCUAGCUUGGAGGUUCUUCAUAACCCUUGGAUGCCUCAAGAGCUAGGAAAAUCCCCAAAUAAUUGUUGUAGCUGAAGUAUCAAGAGCCCCCGUGAUCAUGUACGUCUAGUAAGAUGGCUUUCACAUUUGUUCGAUCAAGAUAAUGAACUUGCUCAUCGUUUGGGUUCAACGGUUGGUUCGUUAAGGAAAGCAACACGUCUACAAUGUCAUCAUGCUGGCCUUGUUUCCCACUCCUAGUUUCCGCAACAAUUCAUGGUCGUCAAUUAUCUUGCCCAAGAGUUUAUCGACUGUCUUACUAACUCUCUUCACUCGCUUAGUCAAUCCUUGAUAAAUAACUUACAGAUGCGUUGUAGUAGCUAAACAUCUAAUAAAAGUCAGUAUUACCCCCACCAUCCAAUUUAUUUACGGAUACAUUUUCAGACGUGUUUCCUUUCUGAGAACAUAUUCUGAAAUUACAAGGUGCCGGACAUGCUCUGGUACGGUCGAAAACUUUUGGUGACCGCAGGAAAAAGCCGUAUACGGUGAGGCAAUAAUGACUUUUCGACCCUAUAGUUGUAUGCUAAACACUUACGCACUAAGAUGAAGAGUCAGUUCUGCCCCACUAUCCAGUUUAUUUACAGACGCAUUUCUAAACGUUUCCAGCGUGUUUCCGAACGUUUCUUACGCGUUUCCGAGAACAGAUUAUGUAUCAUAAAGGCACUGAGAACACUCUAGUACGGCUAAAAACUUCCGGGGACUGUCGGAAUAGGCCGGAUACGACGGGAUAUAUAUCCGUAAAUAAGUUGGAUACGUAGAGACAAUAAUGAUGUUGCCUCCCAUAUGUAUACUACAAUUGGGGAGCUCCCAGUUGUGCGUGAACUAGCUGGACCUAACCCAACUGCAAUUAGGCCCAUUUUUAGACCAGACACUCUUUCGCUGAUGAUCCGACCCGACCCAAAUGGUAUCAGAUAAUUUCCAGGGUCAAAAGUGAAAACCAUGAUAGAUUCAAAUUUACAGAGUUGCAGUUACAAUGAAGACCCAGAAUUCUACUCUGCUUCUGUUAAAACCAUUAUUACUACUAUAACCAAUCGUCUCCGACUAGCUGUGGAACCAGAUCUCUGAGACAGAGAGAGGAUCGUUGACCGUUGACCGAUCCAACCAAUGGCUCAGAUCUUCGAGCACUUCGUCGUCUGCGGCAUCGGGCCGGAGAUUCGAACCCUCGACGGCGGCAGAGGAUUCCACGGCUUCGCCGAAAUGUACCUCCCGUCUUUGCUCGACCAGUUCCCUCCCGCCAACCACACUCUCUAUCCUCCUCCACCGCCUCAGCUCCCCACCGUAAGUACCGAAACGACGCCGGUUUUGCUUUGCUCUCUCUCGCCGGAAUCGGCGAAUUCUAAUUUCGGUUGUGGUUUUCUACAGUGUGUGCUGCCAGCUGGCGUUUCGUCGUUUCCGCGGAGCUAUCCCAUUGUUCUUACUGGUAUGAAUGCCUUGAGCUCUCUCGCCUAUUUUGCUUCACUCUGCUCUUAAACGAUGUCGUUUUCUGUAAUUAAUAAAUCUUCUCUUGGAUUCAUUUGGGAGUACUGGAUUAAUUGGAUUUUGGACUCUAGUUACAUUCAUCUUGGCUUGGAAAGGAGCCAAAAGAGUUGGACAUCUGAAGUUGAAUAUGAUGAAUACAAAUUGCUUUAUAGAGUUGCAGGCUUAUUAAAUUACAUCUUAUUGCUGUUUCUAAUUUUCCUUGGUUCUCUCUCAGCGCACCUUCUGUCCUUACUGGUAAAGACCCCAAAUCAGAUCCAUUGGAGCGGGCUGUAAGUCCUAUACUCCUUCUACAUGAUAUCUAGUAGGUUACUUUAGAGCUUUCGUUAGCUAGUGUAAUAUUGUUCAUUCAGGCUGAAAGGGAAUGUAUGGUUUUGAACAUCAAAGUUAAGCUGCAGGUACAUUUUUUUUGGGGUUAAAUAUACAUACUUGUGUACAUUUUUGUUCAACUCUUGUUGUCCUGUUCUACAUUAUCUACUAUUGGUUUUACAGAUGGGAUGAAAAUAAUUGAUGUGCAUGGUUAUGACCUUAUACUAGGAGUUUAUUAUCAUUUCUCUUAACAGAAAAAUUGACUAAAAAAACUCGGUCAAUAAAUUGGCCUGCCAUCUUUUGGUCUCUUUUAGCAUUGUCCAAUGUUUAAAUCCCCAUCAACUGCCACAUCGUUUGCUUAGAUGUGGUGCACCAAACUGUGGGCUAUUUAGUCAAUAUUCAUUCAAUUAAAUGAUUUACUUCUGACUAGUUUUCAAGAUUAAAAACAAGAGAACUAGAAGUAUAGGAUUGAUGGUCUUGAAUCUUGAUACUGUCUGGCCGUUGCUAAAAUGCUAAUCGAUGUGCGUAUGACAAUUACAAUUUUUGGCAUAUAAUAAUGUAAUUAUGUUUGAUGAGCAGGGUCUGUGGCUGCGUCUUCUAAAACUGGGACCUACUGAUAAUCCUCUUUCUUCAUUUGAGUAUGGAACAAUUCUUGGUAUGCCUCUUUGAAUAAUGAACUCUCACAUUUCUUACGAUGAGGCAAACUUCUGAUGUCUAGUUCUUGAAAGUAUAUCUUGCUUGGACCUUACUAUUUUGGCUCUGCAGCUUUAAUUGAAUCGGAUGCAGAGGGGAUUGGUGGCAGUGGGUUUGUUGAAUGUAUAAGGGAGCACAUAAAUUCGGUAUGUUUCUCUUGAAAUAAUUCAUGGUUCUCUCCACCCUCUAGAAGUAUCCAUAAAACAUAAUAUUAAUAGUGGAUUUAUACGCUCUCAGGGAUGGCACUGUCAGUUAACUGAAGAACAAUUUAUUGCUGUGAAGGAACUGGUACAAAUUCUAAGUCAAUAUUCAAAGGAGUGAUCUUAUUUGAUUUAGGAUUAGUAACAGUUUGAGAUUGCAACAUCAAAAGCCAUGGUUAUGUUUUAAACUGUUCUUCACUGAUUCAUCAAUUCCUUUUACUAGUGUUGAUACUAUUUAGUUCAGGAAAAACAUAUAUUGUUCUCAUCAAUAGUUUAACCGCAUGUGGUCUUAAGAGUGUGUGUUUUCUGUUUUGUAGACAAACCAUGAGCGCGAGACAAGUGGGCAGAAUGAUGCUCUGUUUUUGGAAAGUAGGUGCUAUUUUUUCUUGACCGAUGGGUGGAUUCUCAUAGUGAACAAUUGAGUCUAGUUCGAGGAAAUUUUUUUUUUUGUUGAGAUGGUCAUGUAACAUUAAGCAGAGUAUGCUCACAGAUUUUAAUGGUAUAGUUACUUUUAAAUGGUCAUGGUUAUAGUUUGUUUGUUUGUUUUUUUUUUUUCACAAUAUUCAAUCAUGUUUGAGAAAUUGCCAAUUGUGCUUUCAAUAGUACUGAAGAAAACAUUUUAUUAGUUUUUACCCAUGCUUGUGUUGCUCAUUUCGAAUGGAUCCGGAUUCUCUGUUUGGAUAGUUGGAUUUAUGUUGUUUGAAUUUGUUUGGAUGUCUUGUAACUAUUAGAUGAAGUAAGGAUGACAUUACGGUUUUAGAUUAUACUUAAUCUAAUGGUUAGAAAUCAUCCACGUAAAUUUAAGCAACAUAAAUCUAAAUAGAGAAGUCAAAUUCAUUUCGGAUAACAGAUGGAUGAACACGCUACAUAAGACGGUACGUAGGCUUGGCAAGCAAGUGUUUGGCUUUUGACAAUGACAAACCAAACUUCUCUGUCAUGUCCAAGUCUUGGGGUAGCAUGCCAUUUGGGAGCUCCCAGUUAAAGCAAUGCAUCAGCUGUGCCAGAACUAGCCUAACUGUGGUUAGCCCUAAUUGCAUACCCGGACACCCUCUUCGGCCAGUCCCAAAUGGGAUGAGCUGAUAGUCAUGUCCCUGAAGGUCUAUGUUGCUGUUUGUAAACCUUUCCGGACAGAAUUCCUCAACAUUUUCCGACCAAACAUUGGGAUCCCUUGCAAUGCUCCAGAAAUUCACUAUGAGUCGCGAUUUCUUCGGUAUGUCGUAUCCAUCGAUUGUAAUGUCCUUGAUGGAUUCAUGUGGGAGGAGCAAGGGUGCAACUGGGUGUAGUCUGAAGCUCUCCUUGACCACCAGAUUCAAGUAAUCCAGCUUUGGCAAAUCAGAUUCUUCUACCCCUCGGUCCAUACCAACCACAAUUUGGAGCUCUUCUUGGAGUUGCUUCAUGAUCCUUGGAUGCCUCAUGAGCUCUGCAAGGCUCCAAAUAAUCGUUGUAGCAGAAGUAUCGAAAGCCGCUGUGAUCAUGUCAAGUAAGAUGGCCUUCACAUUUUCUCGAUCAAGAAAAUGAACUUGCUCAUCAUUCGGAUUCAACGGUUGUUUCGUAAACGAAAGCAACACAUCUACAAAGUCCUCAUGCUGGCCUUGUUUUCCACCCUCAGUUUCCGCAGCUUGUUCAUGAUCGUCAAUUAUCUUGUCCAAGAGUUGAUCGACCGUUCUGCUCACUUUCUUCAAUCGCUUAGUCAAUCCCUGAUAAUUUUUCAAAUUAUGAAAGCAAAAUUAACAUAGAAAAUUAUAUUCAAGGGUACCUAAUACACUACUAGUAUCCAUGCAUUUAGGCAAUCUAAACUGAGUAUGAUUAACUGAAUACUUUAUUUGAUACUCCAAGAUUUGAUCACCAUGAAAAUGACUACCUUGCUCCCUUCAGCAGGAGGCAACAAAUUGAAUCAAAACUGUACCCGUCAACAAUAUAAAAUAAUAUGCAGGAGAUAUGGCUCACUAAAUAUAUAUUACCANNNNNNNNNNNNNNNNNNNNAAUAAAUAUGCCUAGCUGACCCCGAGAAAAGGAAAUCUGCCUGAAUUGACUAAUUGGUUUUUUUUUAUAAUAUGAUUGUUUUACCUAGUGGCUAGCAAAAUAUGACUCUACACUGGUUAUUACUGGCCAUCUCAGUGAUCUCACAUUACUUUCACGAACUUAGUUUCCUAUGUUUGACUUCUAGAUUGUUGAUCCUAAUGUAGUUUGUAGACACAAAAAAGCUUGAAGAUUAGUGGGGAUGGUAUGAAAUUUGUGAUAAUUUAGUGUUUGAUACAUGUAAAGGUAGACCAACUCCGAUCCGACUCAUAUAUCAAAUUAUCAAUGCAAUACAAGAAAAUAAAGUGUGCGAAUAAUAUCAUCCGAUCCUAAAAUAAAGUGCAUUUGGCCGGAGCUACUAUAUUGUAGGUUGCAUCGGUUCAUAAAUGAAUGAUCGAAGAGAAAUGCCUAUGGGAAAGAGUAGGGAUUAGAAGCUAGCAAACCUGAAUAUCAAAUGCACUGAGGGAAGGAAUGAAAUCAGAAAUAUUGAAAGCCCCGACCAAGAAGAACAUUUCCUCAACGAUGGCUUUCAGAUCAAACCUAUCGUCCCUUUUACAUCCCAACACCAUCCUAUACGUUAUGCCCUCAUUCAUCUCUCCAAUCUUCUCACUAACAUCCACAACCUCACCUUCCUCUGCAGCUUUCUUCAGCUUUCCCACCAGCCCUCCCAGCUCCUCCUUCCGCAGCGGCGCGAAAGCCUCCAGUUUCGCUGAACAGAAGAGCUGAAGCGUGCAGAGCUUCCUCACAUGGCGCCAAUAGGGACCAUAUUCGGAAAAGGCCAUGCCCUUUGUGCCGUAGGACAAGUACUCGGAGGCUUGGAUUUUUGGCCGGCUGGCGAAGUUAGUGUCAUGAGUUUUGAGGAAUAACUCGGCGGCUUUUGGGGAGGAGAUAACAAUGGUAGGAACAUUGCCUAGACGAAUGGACAUGAUGUCUCCGUAUUGUUUGGCCAAGUUUUGGAGGGUUCGGUGGGGAAGGUUGCCUAGCAUGUGGAGGUUUCCGAUUAUGGGAAGUGGCCGAGGGCCGGGUGGUAGUUUUUGGUGUUUUGAUUUUGAGAAGGCAGAGAUGAGUGACCAAAGGCAUGCGAGGAGAACCAGGAGGAUGGCUAUCAUUGUUGGAGGAGUCAUUGUUUCUGGCUUUCUGAUCUGUGUGGAGUUGCGAGUUGAGAGGAAAUAAUGGGGAAGUAUGGGUCCUGACCGAAAAUUAUUCAGCUCACCCGACAUCUCCGCUGUCAGUUUGAGCACGUGGACUUGAAAGUUGGGCGUUUGCUGUCUGUUAGGUAGGCGAGUGAUGGGGCUAGGGUAAGUGAGUGGAUGUGGAUCCGCUCCUCAGAAACUCAACUUAAUGAAUGGUAUGAACUGCUAUUUUUGCAUUCUUCUUUAUUAAUUUUUCUGCACUAAGGAGGAAGCCACCUUUGUAAAUUCAGUUCCUGGUUGCAAUAGUAGACAGUUAACUAUUGAUUAGUAGGGUAGUAGCUCUUUGGCACCUACUUCACAUAUUCUAGUUGACUUCGUAUCUAAAAAUGAACAGUUUGAUUCUCUUCCUUUCGUCUCAAGCAAAAUUUGUUUCAUGCCUUCUUUACAAUUUUAUGUAUCACUUUUCUUGCAAGUUUUAUAUCUAGUUUGAACUUUGAGGUGACUGGAACGGUGAAAGAAAGGAACUUACGAGAUUGGGGGUGGUGGGGGUACCUAUCGUCCAAGUUAUUAGUUCCGUUGAGUAAUGUAUUGUCAAUUAUUACACUCUUUUGGAUUCUUUCAUCUCACCCUGAAAUGAAUCUAUUAGCAGCAGGUCAUGACAGUGGGAUGAUCGUCUUUAAGUUAGAGAGGGAAAGACCAGCCUUUGCCGUCAGUGGUGAUUCUCUGUUCUAUGCUAAAGACCGCUUUUUGAAGUACUAUUGAGUUUUCAACCCAAUGAGAUACACAAGUUAUUCCAAUUCGACGGCCUGGUUCUAUCACUUUAAAUCAAAGCCCAAGGACCCUUUCUUACAGUCCUUCAGAAAAUGCCAUUCUUGUUUGCUCAGACUUGGACGGGGGAUCCUAUGAGUUGUAUUUCAUAUACCAAGAGACAGCAUUACAAGGGGUGACAGUACUCAAGAUGCUAAAAGAGGUGUUGGAGGUUCAGCUGUGUUUGUAGCACGGAAUAGGUUUGCUGUGCUUGAGAAAACCAGCAACUCUGUGUUGGUAAAGAAUUUGAAGAAUGAGGUUGUCAAACAGACUCCCCUUCCUUUUGCUGCUGAUGCAAUAUUUUACGCUGGUACAGGUAAUUUGCUGUGCAGGUCAGACGACAGUGUUUAUAUUUGAUCUCCAGCAGAGGACUGUUCUUGGUGAACUUCAAACCCCCUUCAUCAAGUAUGUUGUUUGGUCUAACGACAUGGAAAGUAUUGCCUUGCUGAGCAAACAUGCCAUAAUUAUUGCUAGCAAGAGGCUUGUGCACCAGUGCACUCUUCAUGAGACAAUCCGUGUAAAGAGUGGUGGUUGGGAUGACAAAGGUGUUUUCAUUUAUUCAACCCUGAAUCAUAUCACGUAUUGUCUACCUAAUGGAGAUAGUGGAAUAAUAAGAACCCUUGAUGUUCCUAUCUACAUUACGAAAGUUUCUGGAAAUACCAUCUUCUGCUUGGAUCGGGAUGGGAAAAAUAAGGCCAUAGUUAUUGAUGCCACAGAAGGAUCCGGCUCCUCUAAAGUGAGGAGUCCGUGAAGUUAGUCUAAGUUCAUAAAAUUCACACUCUUUAUCUAAUCUAAAGGGUAUGAGCAGGACACGUCACUCUUGAAUUAAUUUAAGCUAACCUAUGGUUAACUUUGAUAAACUACCGUCAACUACGUAACAAAAAAGAAAAGAAAAGAGGUUUUACGUCUUCUGCUAUAACACGUCCAACUGCUAUCUUCCUCUCUUGCUUCUAAGUCGAUCAAUUUGCUGCGCUAUACAUAUGCUCUGUUGCGAAUCACUAUGACGAACUUGGACUAUUGCGAAUCACUACAUUUGGUAUCCGGAUACAUACUUUCAGAACAUAUGCUCUAUUCCCAGGCAUUACUCUUCACCAAGGACUAUGGAUGAUAUCGUUCAGUAAUUGAAACCUAUUUGGCCGAUUUUGGAAUAGAGUUACUGUGGGAUUUGGAUCAGUUGCAUUUCCUACUGCGUGCUAUGAAAGAGGACCAUUUGAUGUUUCUAAACUUUGAAAUCAGCUGUUUGAUAUUUUUGCAUUUGGGACGCACAUAACGUGUUUGAUGAAAUGACAAGCUCAAUUUUUGAAUAUUGACUUCAGAUUUUGUUCAAGUUAACAUGGAGUAUGAUUUUGGUAUUAAUUGACAAAGGCCAUAAAGCUGAUUUUCAUCUGUACUAAUUUCAUUUUUCAUCUGUAGUUUGAGCACUUCUUAGAUGUAUUAUUCUUAUUUUGUGUUUUCAAAACUGGAAAACACACAUCUAAGCAGGCAAAUACUUGUUUGUUUCAUCUCACUUUUUGCAAAAGCAAGACCUACUUUAUCAACUAAGUUGUUAUAUAAAAGUUAAUGCAAUGCAUGGUCGACAAAGCUGGAAAAUAUUGCUCGUAAGGAACUGUGAAAACUGAUUCUCUAAUUGUAGAUAUGGACAUGAGCAAAAAUUGACAUGGACAUGAGCAUCUGUAAUUAUCAAAACUGAUUAUCAAACAUUAUUUCAAAUUUAAAUAAUCCAUACAAACAUGAGUACAUUACUUUCCUCUAGAUCCAUGAAAUUUUUAAUAGCAACUAAAAACGAUAACAGAGGUACAACCAUCAUCAUCUAAUUUCCAGCACAUAUAUAGAAGUUCGCUAUGUUUGGUAACCAACUAAACGAGUGGACAAUUGUUUCUUCCUCUUGCUUGAUGGUGGAGCUCCUUGAUCCUAUAUGACAAGAAUGAAAAUCGAAAAAUUACGUUCAAUUGCGUAGAUCAUAAACAUAUAUAGGACAUGUACAUACAUCAAUAAUGUUUUUUCUUCACAAUAUUCAAUCAUGUUUGAGAAAUUGCCAAUUGUGCUUUCAAUAGUACUGAAGAAAGCAUUUUAUUAGUUUUUAUUCGAAUAACAGAUGGAUGAACAAGCUACAUAAGACGGAAUGUAGGCUUGGCAAGCAAGUGUUUGGCCAUUGACAUUGACAAACCAAACUUCUCUGUCAUGUCCAAGUCUAGAGGUAGCAUGCCAUUUGGGAGCUCCCAGUUAAAGCAGUGCACCAGCUGUGCCAGAACUAUCCUAACUGUGGUUAGCCCUAAUUGCAUACCCGGACAUCCUCUUCGGCCAGUCCCAAAUGGGAUGAGCUGAUAGUGAUGUCCCUGGCGGUAUACGUUGAUGUUCGUAAACCUUUCCGGACAAAAUUCCUCAACAUUUUCCGACCAAACAUUGGGAUCCCUUGCAAUGCUCCAGAAAUUCACUAUGAGUCGCGAUUUCUUCGGUACGUCGUAUCCAUCGAUUGUAAUGUCCUUGAUGGAUUCAUGUGGGUCGAGCAAGGGUGCAACUGGGUGUAGUCUGAAGCUCUCCUUGACCACCAGAUCCAAGUAAUCCAGAUUUGGCAAAUCAGACUCUUCUACCAUUCGAUCCAUACCAACCACAGUUUGGAGCUCUUCUUGGAGUCGCUUCAUGAUCCUUGGAUGCCUCAUGAGCUCUGCAAGGCUCCAAAUAAUUGUUGUAGCAGAAGUAUCGAAAGCAGCCGUGAUCAUGUCAAGUAAGAUGGCCUUCACAUUUUCUCGAUCAAGAAAAUGAACUUGCUCAUCAUUCGGAUUCAACAGUUGCUUCGUAAACGAAAGCAACACGUCUACAAAGUCCUCAUGCUGGCCUUGUUUUCCACCACCCUUAGUUUCCGCAGCUUGUUCAUGAUCGUCAAUUAUCUUGUCCCAGAGUUGAUCGGCCGUCUUGCUCACUUUCUUCAAUCGCUUUAUUCUCUUAGUCAAAAUCCUUGAUAAUUUUUCAAAUUAUGAAAGCAAACUUAACAUAGAAAAUUAUAUUCAAGGCUACCUAAUACACUAGUCAAGACUUCAAGUCUCUUCUAAUUGAAAAUUAUAUUCUUACUAAAAAAAUUUAAAAAAAUCAAUAAAAAUAUAAUAUGCCUAGCUGCCCCGAGAAAAGGAAAUCCGCUUGAAUUGACAAUUUGGUUUUUUAUAAUAUGAUUGUUUUACCUAGCAGCUAGCAAAAUACGACAUUGCACGACUGCACUGGUCACUACUGUCAUCUCACAUUACUUUCACGAACAUAGUUUCCUAUGUUUGACUUCUAGAUUGUUGUUGAUCCUAAUGUAGUUCGUUGAGACAAAAAAGCUUGAAGAGGUAGUGGGGAUGGUAUAUAUGAAUUUGUUGAUAAUUUAGUGUUUGAUACAUGUAAAAGUAGAUCAACUCCGAUCCGAUUCAUAUAUCAAAUUAUCAAUGCAAUUUAAGAAAAUAAGGUGUGAAUAACAUCAUCCUAAAAUAAAGUACAUUUAGCCGGAGCUACUAUGUUGUAGGUUUGCAUCGGUUCAUAAAUGAAUGAUCGAAGAGAAAGAGUAGGGAUUAGCAAACCUGAAUAUCAAAUGCACUGAGGGAAGGAAUGAAAUCAGAAAUAUUGAAAGCCCCAACCAAGAAGAAUAUUUCCUCAACAAUGGCUUUCAGAUCAAACCUAUCGUCCCUUUUACACCCCAACACCAUCCUAUACGUUAUGUCCUCAUUCAUCUCACCAAUCUUCUCACUAACAUCCACAACCUCACCUUCCUCUGCUGCUCUCUUCAGCUUUCCCACCAACCCUCCCAGCUCCUCCUUCCGCAGCGGCGCGAAAGUCUCCAGUUUUGCAGGACAGAAGAGCUGAAGCGUGCAGAUCUUCCUCACAUGGCGCCAAUAGGGACCAUAUUCGGAAAAGGCCAUGCCCUUUGUGCAGUAGAAGUACUCGGUGGCUUGGAUUUUUGGCCGGCUGGCGAAGUUAGUGUCAUGAGUUUUGAGGAAUGGCUCGGCGGCUUUUGGGGAGGAGAUAACAAUGGCAGGAACAUUGCCUAGACGAAGGGACAUGAUAUCUCCGUAUUGUUUGGCCAAGUUUUGGAGGGUUCGAUGGGGAAGGUUGCCUAGCAUGUGGAGGUUUCCGAUUAUGGGAAGUGGUCGAGGGCCGGGUGGUAGUGUUUGGUGUUUUGAUUUUGAGGAGGCAGAGAUGAGUGACCAGAUGCAUGCGAG